ACCGCUCGCCGCGCCCGAAUCGUGCCAAAUUGGUAGUGAUCUCGGGGCGGGGCGUGACAUGAGUAGUCUAAUGUUGUUCCGGUUUUUGUUCUUGUGAACAUUGACAUCGAUUCGUUCCAAAUUUACACUCUCGGGGCAUAAUAGAACAAUAUAAUUAGGUUUUACGCUUUAUUAGAUAGAAUGAGAAAAAGUACCCGUUGCAAAGUUAUACUGUUAGGGUGCAACUGAGUAGUCUAAUGUUAUUCUGAUUUUUAUUCUUGUGAACGUUGACAUCGAUUCGUUCCAAAUUUACAAUCUCGGGGCAUAAUAGAACAAUAUAAUUAGGUUUUACUCUUUGUUCGAUAGAAUGCGAAAAAGUACUCGUUGUAAAGAUAUACUGUUAGGGCGCAACUGAGUAUUCUAAUGUUGAUCUGGUUUUGGUUCUUAUGAAUGUAGACAUCAAUUCAUUCCAAAUUUGCACUCUCGGGGCAUAAUAGAACAAUAUAAUUAGGUUUUACACUUUGUUCGAUAGAAUGAGAAAAAGUACUCGUUGUAAAGUUAUACUGUUAGGGCGCAACGAAGUAUUCUAAUGUUGUUCCGGUUUUGGUUCUUGUGAACGUUGACAUCGAUUCACUCAAAAUUUACACUCUCGGGGCAUAAUAGAACAAUAUAAUUAGGUUUUACUUUUUGUUCGAUCGAAUGAGAAAAAGCACUCGUUGUAAAGUUAUACNGUUUUUGUUCUUGUGAGCGUUGACAUCGAUUCGUUCCAAAUUUACACUCUCUAGGCAUAAUAGAACAAUAUAAUUAGGUUUUACGCUUUCUUCAAAAAAAUGAGAAAAAUUACUCGUUGCAAAGUUAUACAGUUAGGGCGCAACUGAGUAGUCUAAUGUUAUUCCGGUUUUUGUUCUUAUGAGCGUUGACAUCGAUUCGUUCCAAAUUUACAAUCUCUGGGCAUAAUAGAACAAUAUAAUUAGAUUUUACGCUUUCUUCGAUAAAAUGAGAAAAAGCACUCGUUGCAAAGUUAUUCUGUUAUGGCGCAACUGAGUUGUUUAAUGUUGUUCCGGUUUUUGUUCUUGUGAGCGUUGAUAUCGAUUCGUUCCAAAUUUACACUCUCUGGGCAUCAUAGAACAAUAUAAUUAGGUUUUACGAUUUUUUUUAUAAAAUGAGAAAAAUUACUCGUUGCAAAGUUAUACUGUUAUGGCGCAACUGAAGUGCCUAAUGUUGUUCCAGUUUUUGUUCUUGUGAGCGUUGACAUCGAUUCGUUCCAAAUUUACACUCUCUAGGCAUAAUAGAACAAUAUAAUUAGGCUUUACGCUUUCUUCGAUAAAAUGAGAAAAAGUACUCGUUGCAAAGUUAUACUGUUAGGGCGCAACAGAUUUGUCUAAUGUUGUUCCGGUUUUUGUUCUUAUGAGCGUUGACAUCGAUUCGUUCCAAAUUUACACUCUCUGGGCAUAAUAGAACAAUGUAAUUGGAUUUCACGCUUUUUUCGAUAAAAUGAGAAAAAGCACUUGUUGCAAAGUUAUUCUGUUAUGGCGCAACUGAGUUGUUUAAUGUUGUUCGGAUUUUUGUUCUUGUGAGCGUUGACAUCGAUUCGUUCUAAAUUUACACUCUCGGGGCAUAAUAGAACAAUAUAAUUAGGUUUUACGCUUUCUUCGAUAAAAUAAGAAAAAGCACUCGUUGCAAAGUUAUACUGUUUGGGCGCAACUGAGUAGUCUAAUGUUAUUCCGAUUUUUGUUCUUAUGAACGGUGACAUCGAUUCGUUCCAAAUUUAUAAUCAAGGGGUAAAAUAGAACAAUAUAAUUAGGUUUUACUCUUUGUUCGAUAGAAUGCGAAAAUAUACUCGUUGUAAAGUUAUACUGUUAGAGCACAACUGAGUAUUCUAAUGUUGUUCCGGUUUUGGUUCAUAUGAAUGUUGACCUCAAUUCAUUCCAAAUUUGCACUCUCGAGGCAUAAUAGAACAAUAUAAUUAGGUUUUACUCUUUGUUCGAUAGAAUGAGAAAAAGUAAUCGUUGUAAAGUUAUACUGUUAGGGCGCAACGAAGUAUUCUAUUGUUGUUCCGGUUUAGGUUCUUAUGAACGUUGACAUCAAUUCCUUCCAAAUUUACACUCUCUGGGCAUAAUAGAACAAUAUAAUUAGNNNNNNNNNNNNNNNNNNNNNNNNNUGAGCGUUGACAUCGAUUCGUUCCAAAUUUACACUCUCUGGGCAUAAUAGAACAAUAUAAUUUGGUUUUACGCUUUCUUCGAUAAAAUGAGAAAAAGUAUUCGUUGCAAAGUUCUACUGUUAGGGCGCAACUGAGUAGUCUAAUGUUGUUCCGGUUUUGGUUCUUUUGAACGUUGACAUCCAUUCGUUCCAAAUUUUAAUUUAUCUCAAACAGAUUUAAAUAUUAAUUCUUAUCCAAAUAGGAUUUAACUACAAAUCUAACCAAAUCCUAACAACAUGAACAAAGUACCAAGAGUGUUAGUUUUAUGUUAGAAUUAUAUCUAAAUACCAGCAAAAUUUGAGCUGUUGAUUAAGUAUUUUUAUAUAUAUUAAGCACUACCAUGUCCUCGUAAUGAUAUGUUCUAUUUCACUUAUGUGAUAGAUAUUGAAAUGUGCCUAAGCAAAGUUAGUGGAACUGUAUCGCAUUGAAAGGUUAGUAGAGCCUUUUUGUGGGUCACACACAAGUUGAAUUGCAAAAAAGUAAUGCUAUGCCCCCUCCUAAAAGUAGAUGUGAGUAGAUAUUUAGUUAAACUGGUUCGUUUGGGCUCUGUGGGACACACAUUAUAUGAUUUAAAUUCAUUGAUUUUGAUUCUGUAUGUUCUGAUAUCAAAAUUUAUGUCAUAAAAUGAUGAGCGUGGGAAUUGAACUUAAGAGGUACCUCUUAGAACAGAGAAGGCUUAGGAUAUACCAUAUUAUCCAAAAGUUCGAUUAGACUAUUCUGACAUCUGAAUAACCUGAGAGCAGACAUAGCUAAAGAAUCAAAUGGCAGCUAGGAGAAGAUGGGUGAUUUAGUUGGCAAAUAAAAUUCAAGUAAAUUUAACCUGAGAUAAAAACUGCACAACAUAAAUAAAAGAAAGAAAAGAAGAAAGCAAACAUAUAUGAAGCAGAUGAUUUAUCGCAGUUCGAUCUUUUCACCUACUCUAGUCCGGUCCUCUAUCUUCUCAAGACUCUCAUAUAAAUAUGAUUAGUUAAUUCAGAUUUGGCAAAAAUUCAGCACGGAUAUAAUUCGAAUAAAAUUCGUAUCUCAAUUUUUAAAUUUAUUGAAAAAUAUGACUUAAAAAAUGGAUUUGCCAAUUUUUCGGAUAUGCGAUUUAUAUGAAAAUUAUACGUUCACCAAUUAAAUAAAAAAUUCAGCUAUUAAACUAAGUUUUCUUCUCUAGAUUUAUGCUACUAGCAUACAUAAAUUCUUAAGAAUAUAAAAAUAGAGAGCUCCAAAGUAAAAUAGAUUAAUAAAAAAGUAAUAACAAAUUUUAUUAUCGUCUCCAUCUUCAUUUUUUUCAGAAUCCACAUACUCCGAAAGUUUAUGAAGUUUUUCAAUAAUACACGAAUAAUUCGGCAAUUAUUUGGAAAAAAAUUUUAUUCAAAAAUUUUACGUGUUUGUUUGGCUGAAUAGAUCGGCAUACGAGAGUUAUUUUAAAAAUAACUGUAUUUUAUCCAAGGCAAGUCCCCCGGGACCACGGCAAGACUUGCCUUGGGUCUAGGGUUCCGAGCCGUGCUGUGCCGGGCCAACGGCCUCUCCUCGUGCCUGGCCGUCGGGCCCCAGAAAUGCAGCCCAGCACGGCCUGAAGAGCCUGGCCGGCCCGGCCCGGCCCGGCACGAAUGCUACAAUAUCUGUGCCGGGCCGGGCGGCCGGCUGCCCGGCCCGUUUUACACUCCUAACUAGCACUCUGCGAUAGGCUGGGUCUACCACUUGUUCCAAAACCAACUCUAUAUCCUAAUCUAUUUUAAAUAAAGUUCGGAUAAUUACAAAUUAUGAAUUCUCUUAAAUUUUGCUUCACACAAUUUUUGGUUGCAUCAUAAAACAAUUUGGAUGUAAAAAUUCGAGACAUAUUUAAUAGAACUUUUUGUAUAUAUAUAUAUAUAUAUAUAGAGUGAGGCUACUAUGCUAUCGGAAGCACGGAGCCUUCCGUGCUUCCAGCUCGUUUUCGAUGUUGUGAUUUUUGAAUCGUCGAUCGGCUCCGUUAAACUUGAUCUAGAGUAUUUGNNNNNNNNNNNNNNNNNNNNNNNNNUAGUAAUUUGAAGUACCUAGAAAAUAAAUUUAUGAUUUACGAUAUCAUUUGGCCUAGUGAACGAAGGGGCUCAAAAUGCACGGCUGAAAAAUAAAAUCUUACAAAUGUAAUAAUAUGACAUUAAAUUUUAAAUCAAGAUAUUGAACUUGUUUUAUAUAGUAUAAUAAGAAUUUUCUAUCAAAAUUUCACUGUGAUUUGGAUAUUUUCACCGUUAAACUUGCAAACGGCUCAUACGGCAUUGAAAUUUGUUGAUUUUGAGCCAUUCGAUCAACUAGGCAAAUGAAUAUCGAAAAAAUAAUAAAAUUAUUUUCUAGUACUCCAAAUACUUCUUAGAUCAAUUUACCGAGCCGAUGCGACUCGAUUUGAAAGUCGCAACAUCGAAAACGAGCUGGAAUCGACGGAAGGCUCCGUGCUUGCCAAUAGCAUAGUAUAGUCUCACUCUAUAAUAUAUAUAUAUAUAUAUAUAUAUAUAUAUAGAGUCGGCUACUAUGCUAUUAAUAGUACGAAGCACUUGUGCUACCUAAUUUUUCCGCGCGUUAGAUCUAGCCCUUUUGUGAUUCAUUUCACCAGUUAGAUCAUACAUUCACCACACACCACUCAAACCAUAGGGGCCCACAUCAUCCUAACCGACAUUCUUAAUCCAAUACAACCCAACUGGGUGUAGCACAAUUGCUUGGUGCUAUUAAUAGCAUAGUAGCGCUAGUUCUAUAUGAGUCCGGCUAACUAUGCUAUUAAAUGUACGAAUGCGGCUUGUGGCUACAAGUUUUCCGCCGUUAGAAUGCUACACUUUUGAUUAUUUCAUCCGUUUAGAUCAUAACUAUUCAACCAACCACCACUCAAAUCCUAGGGGCCACAUCAAUGCCUAACCGCACCAUCUCUUCAUCCAAUGGCCCAAAAAACUGAGGUAGCACCAAUGACUUGGUGCUAUUAAUAGCAUAGUAGCCUAGUUCUACUAUGAGCCGGCUACUAUGGCUAUUAAUUGUACGAAGCACUUGGUGCUACCCAAGUUUUCCGCCGUUAGAGUCUAUCCCUUUUGAACAUUUUUCACGAUCCGUUAGAUCAUUCUAAUUCAACCAACCACCCACCAAACCCUUAAGGGGGGGGGCCCCAAUAUCAUCCUUAACGCACAUCUCUUAAUCAAUGCCGAAAACUGGGUAGCGACAAUGACUUGGUGCUAUUUAAUAGCAAUACCUAGUUCUAUAUGAGUCCGGCUAACUAUGCUAUUAAUAGUAUGAAGCACUUGGUGCUAACCAAGUUUUCCGUAGCCGUUAGAUCUACCCUUUUGACAUUAUCAUCCCGUUAGAUAUACUAUUCAUGCUAGUUAGAGUGUAAAACGGCCGGGCAGCCGGCCGCCCGGCCCGCACGGAUAUUGUACAUUCGCGGGCGGGCUCGGGCCGGCAGGCUCUUCGGGCCGUGCUGGGCUGCAUUUUCUGGGGCCGACGGCCAGGCAUGAGGAGAGCCGUUGGCCGCACAGCAGGCCCGGAACCCCUAGACCCAAGGCAAGUCUUGGCCGUGUCCCGGGGGACCUUGCGUUGGAUAAAAUCGUUUAUUUUAAAUAAUUUCGUAGCCGAUCUUAUUCAGCCAACAAACAUGCGAAAUUUUUGAAUAAAAUUUUUUUGCCAAAUAAUUGCCGAAUUAUUCGUGUUUAUUGAAAAAACUGCACUCUCUUAAUCGCAAUCCAAAACUGGGUACACCAUGACUUGGUGCUAUUAUCGCGAUAGUAACCUAGUUUAUAUAUAUAUAUAAAUAUAUAUUAUAUAUAAUAUAUAUAUAUAAUAUAUAUUAUAUAUACAAAAUGAUAAGCCAAAAGCUGUUUAAUUAAAAAAUGAAAAUUCCCCUAACUAUAUAUUCGGAGGCAAUUAACUAUAUCUGAACAUCAUAAUUUAUCUCUAAGUAAAUUUAAUAGUUUAUUUUAGAUGGCUAUUUUUGAUGUCCUAGUUUAGCAUUAGAGUUCCUGCAAACCCAAAAAAACAAAAAAUUAUAACUAAACUAAAACUGAGCUGAAAUUUCUUUGAGUACGGAUUUUUACAGUUUGAGCGUGGAAAACUUAACGAUCCAUAAUUUUUCGCUCGAGUGUUUGUUUAUUAGUGUACAAUCUCAAUUCAAAAAACACCAUUCUAGAGAAUCUAUGCAAGAGCAACACAACGUGGUUUGAACCGAUUUUGGGAUCCAAAUUUUGGGAUCCGAAUUCAACUGUUAGGUCUCUGUUUUUAUAUUAUUAAAUUAUUUUGAAAAAUUCUUAGGUCUCUGUUUCCUUUUUUUUUUUUCCGCCUCCUUUUUUUUCACAUUCAUUGUGUCAUUGAGAGAUAGACAAAACGUUCUGUAGACACAACCUCUAAACUACAACGAUCAAGCACACACUCUGCUCAUGCAAAAUACACACUCCCAGCAGCGCAUCUCACCCCUGCCGUGAUCGAAAUCGGAUCCGAAACACUGCGUGAUCUCUCGAUACCGGGUAGAUCAGACUGUCUCCUCUUUCGCGAUCUCGUACUCCACGUAUCUUAUGCCCAAUGCCUCGCAGUCGCUCUCCGAAUCGUGGCUGCAGGCCUCAUUCAGCUCCCCCGCACGGCACGACUGCACCGCCGUCAUCUGCGCCGUCCGCAGAAGCAUGUUGUCAGCCCCGCUCGUGAAGCCAUCAUCGCGUCGCACGAGUUCACAACCUCACGCGAACUCGCGACGUCCCCCGUUGCCUCCGUCGCGCCGACACCACUCUGAAUCUCGCUCUUCGCCAUCGACAUCCCCACCUUCCUUUCUCGUUCAUCACGACCUCUGACGCGCUCUUUCGUCAGCAGCAUCAGUAGUCUCGGAUUUCGCCUCUUAUCUACCUCGCUCUCUUCAGCGGGGGGAAGCAUUGUCUCAGGAACUCCUUGAAGUCGCUCACUGGAAUAGUUAUUUGGAGAUAUCGAGGAUCAAUGCCCGAGCUCUUUGUGCUAUUUUAGUCCACAUGAACGAAGGGGAAGCAAUGAACUCGCUCUCGCCGUCGAGGUCGAUGAUCGAUAUUUGAGAGUUGCAGUUAGCAUUGGCGUGGUACUUCAUGAAUCCAUUGCCAGUGAAGUUCGUGACGAGGAACCGAACGCUCGCCGUUAUAUUCGGCGAGAGUGAUUAGAGGGGGAUCAGAAUGUCGUGAAGUCGUGGAAGAGAUUUCCGACGAACCCGCCCGUCGAAGAAGACGAUCGCCGGGACUUCCGUGCCUGGAAGUGCAGAAGGGAUCUGAUCAUUUGCCGGAGAAGAAUUAUGUGAGUUCUUGAUUGAGUCCAUGGUGUUCUGCUCGCCACUUUUCGCGCGUACGGCCUGAUCUUGUAUGAUGGAUGAGAGGUGUUGUUGUUGUUGUCGAAGGCCGCCGAGAUGAUGACCAAAACGCGACAAUUUGAUAUCGCGUGGUCGCCAGGUAACAAGUGUCAGAUCUUUGUUUGGCGAGUAGUCGCAAACCGAUUUUGUUCUUUGGAUUUAAACAUCUGUGUUUGACAGAGAACUGUAUAUUAGAAUAUAUGUGAUGGAUAAAAUACACAACACAAUUCUUUUUUCGGCUUAAUGAAGACAGCAGGUAGGCUUGCUACUUUUAUAUUCUCAAAGAAAAAAAAAAGAAGAAGAUAAAUAACCAUCUUUUGUAAAGCUGAUUCUAAUUGAUACAAAAAAUUAUCUAAUAUAUCACCCUUUUUUCCCAUUUUUGUUUAUUAAGGCUAUUGACAAAAGGUAAUUUUUUCUUGUAUCUACCAAAUGCAUAAGCUUAGAUAUCUUUAAAUAUACUUGGGGCAUGAUAUAUAGCAUUGAAUAUAUAUGGAUGCAGGCAGAACCUAUUAUAUACGUACCCUUGGGGUUGAUUUUUUUUUUUUUUGAGAGGAUAGGUAGUACGCGCUACCCGCUUGUUAUUUUAUUAGAAAUAAACUUAGCGUAGAAAUGAAUCAUUAGGAUUCGAACUUGGGUCUCAGGGUACCAACGCAAGCCUUGCCACUUGCCUAAGGGACCGGUCGGUCUGGGUGAUUCUUGCUCCUUAUUUUUGUCUCAUGGGACAGGCUCAUUAGAGCAACAACAAAAUCCUUUUUCUUUGGCUUCUCCUUCGUACCAAUGUUGACUCGAAAGAUUGAUCUUAUGAAAGGAGCAUAGAAAUUUUUUCAUUUAACAUUCCACUUACGUGCACGCUGGAUAUAAAAGGUAUAUAGAGGUGAAAAUUUUCACACCGUUAAUUAAAUAUUAAGUGCGGAAUUGAAUCCGUGAUUCCCCGCUAAAUAUUUAAAGUGGGGAUUGAUUUCACGGACCUUAAGAAUGAAGGAAGUUUAAAUAGUUCUGACAUCAUGUUCAAUAAAAUAUAAUCAACUUUAGUUCCAAAGCUAAAUAUUUAUAUUGACUAUUCCUCGGCUCAUGAGUUUGGGCACAGAAUAUUUUUCAAUAGCCCAAGGUGUGGACUUUGAAUUAAAUGAGAAAAAAGUUGUAAAUAUUAAGAGCUGACGAAACUUCAAACUCAGAGCCUCCCAGUUGAUACCAUAUUUAAAUUAAAUGAAAUAACCGUUGUUCUAGGUCAAAAUCUUUAGCUUUUGAAAAUAACGAUUGUUUCGUAUUAUUUAACACAGAUAAAGAAAAGGUUAUUACAUUCGUAUAUGCGCUAGGAUUUUCUACCUUUGAUGGUUGUCUGCUUUCUUAUCUCUAUCUCCAGACUCUUAGACGCAACAAUCUUCUUUUUUCUGCUUUCUCCUUCGCAUUACGAAUGAACAUCGCCAUUUUGAAUUCUGAAAUUUCAUAAUGCACUGCAACAAAUUUAAUCACAUUUUUUUCUCUCGCAAAAAGAAAAAUAGUUUGUUUGACGCUUCGUACGUCGCCACAAAUUUCCACUGACACAUGCAAAGUCGAAAACAUGUUCUUAGUUAUAUAAAAGGUACAAUUGCCACCGGCGCUAUACCUCGCGGGCUAUGCCAUUUCCAUCCUCCUUGGCUUCGAUCGUAGAUCUUAUCUGCGAUAUGAAUUUACAGUUUACCGAACGUAAUUCGCUCUAAAAUCCAUCUUUUUGUGAGAACGAAUAAUAGAUAGUCCUUUUAAAAACCUAGGUUUAGCAUCUAUGAGGAAACCAUGGGUGCUAGCUUCAAUGUGAGCUAGAUCCAUCAUCUCUAAACUCAUUAGGUUCCGUUUGAACCAAUAAAAGCAACAAAACCCAUCAAACCCUAGAAAUCCAAAACUAGGGUUAGAGCUUACCUCUAGGAUUUGCUCCAAAAUAAACUUUAGCUUGAUGGAGAGGAGGGAGAAGAGCUUCUUAGUCUUCUCCUUGAUCUUCUCCUUCCUUUCUCUCCUUAUCUUCUUCUUCUUUCUUCCUCUUUUCUUCUUCUCCUUCUUUUUCUCCUUCAACCGGUUAGAGAGAGAGAGAGGGAGCUAGAGAGAGAGAGAGGCUGUGAGAGUGGGAGAGGGCACAGCUGAGGAUAGGAGGGUUAAGUCCUCUAUUGUAACAAUGUGCUAAAAAGCCCUCCAUUUAUCAGAUUUUGCAACUUAACCCGCUACCUGCGCGCCCUUGUACCGGUACACGGGACCUUGUACCGGUACAAGGCCUUAUACCGAGCGCAAAUCGAGCCUCGGGUUUCUGUGUUUCGCAGAGCUUGUACCGGUACAAGCCAGCCUUGUACCGGUACAGCGCCUGAAGCCUUCGAACCCGAGAGCUACGCAGCCUGGCUGCGAUGGCUGUACCGGCACAGCCAUCACCCUUGUACCGGUACAGCAGCUCCAGAAUGCUGUUUUAACUUCGUUUCGGCUCCACUUCGCGCCGAUCGAUGUCCAAGCUAUUCCAACGCCUUUAGAACUCAUUUUUGCUCUUCCAAAUUGUUGGAAUACCGAAUGGAACUUGUCCAAAUCGUUCAAUCGCCCACUUUGAUCCAUUUGGCCAAAGUUAGCCAAUAUCGUCGAAAUUCGAUAUCUCACAUUCUCCACCCCUUAAAAGGAGUUUCGUCCUCGAAACAACUCAACUCUUAAAUCGAACUUAAACUCUUACCUCAAUCCUUGAACAAGUGAGGAUGAUUCGCUUUCAUCCGGUCCUCGAGUUCCCAAGUGGCUUCGCGAUCGUCGUGAUUGCUCCACCGGACUUUAACAUAGGAAAUUUCUCGAUUCCUUAGCUUACGCACCUCUCGAGCCAAAAUCUCUACCGGAAACUCUUCAUAGCUCAAAUCAUCUUGAAGUUCCGGCGGCUCAUAAAGCAUCGCAUGCUCGGGGUCGUAAAUAUACUUGCGAAGAUUGGAGACGUGGAACACAUUGUGCACACCCGCAAGCUUUGGGGGCAAUGCAAGUCGAUACGCCACCGUCCCAAUUCGCUCCAAAAUCUCGUAGGGGCCAAUGUAACGAGGACUCAACUUUCCUCGUACCCCAAAUCGUUUCACGCCUCGCAUCGGCGAAACCUUCAAGAAUACGCGGUCACCCACCGCGAACUCCAAAUCUCGCCGGCGUCUAUCCGCAUAGCUUUGCUGUCUCGACUGCGCCGUAAGCAAUCUCUUGCGAGCAAGGCGGACUUUCUCUUCCACUUCUCGCAACACAUCCAGGCCGAACUCCGCACGCUCACCUACAUCGCUCCAGUGUAUAGGAGAUCGACAUAUCCGUCCAUAGAGGACCUCAAACGGUGCCAUCUCCACACUAGCAUGAUAACUAUUAUUGUAGGCGAACUCGGCCAUCGUUAGGUGGUCACACCAACUUUCUUUAUAGUCAAUGACACACGCUCGCAACAUAUCCUCCAGAGUUUGAAUGGUUCUCUCCGUUUGCCCAUCGGUCUGGGGAUGAAAUGCGGUGCUAAAGUCCAGCCGUGUGCCAAGGGCUUCCUGCAGGCUCUUCCAAAAAUGCGAAGUGAAUCGGGGGUCACGAUCCGACACGAUAGUUUUCGGCACCCCAUGCAGUCUCACUACCUCGUCAAGGUAUACCUGCGCUAACUUGUCACCCGACCACGUGGUAUGGAUCGGUAAGAAGUGAGCCGACUUCGUCAAUCGGUCCACAAUUACCCAAAUUGCAUCGUGGCCGCCCUUUAAGCAGGGUAAGCCGACCACGAAGUCCAUCGAUAUAUCCUCCCAUUUUCAAACGGGGAUUGGUAGGCUUUGAAGCUUUCCCGCUGGAAAUCGAUGCUCGGCCUUCACUUGUUGGCAUGCAAGGCACUUCGCCACAAAGCGCCCGAUGUCAGCUUUCAUUCCCGGCCACCAGUAGUGCAUUUUUAGGCCUUGGUACAUCUUGGUGCCGCCCGGGUGACCACCAUACGGGGACCAAUGCGACUCCUGGAGUAUAAGCUUGCGAAGCUCCCCAUUAGCGGGUACACACCUCCGAUUCCGAAACCGAAGCGUACCAUCGACGUCUACAUUGAACUCGCCGCCAUGACCUUCCUCGAUGUUUCGCCGCACCUUUUGGAGUUCUGGGUCCACAAGUUGCAGAUCUUUGAUCCUCUCCAACAAGGUCGGUUGGACAACGAGUGCCAUCAACUGAAUCGGGACCUCGGGAGCAACCACUUCAAGGUCCAAUCGCUCCAUAUCCAGCCCUAGGGGUUUUUGCUGGGUAACAUCAAAAGCGAGGUUCUUCGCCGUCUUCCUACUCAGCGCAUCCGCGACCACAUUAGCCUUCCCGGGGUGGUAAAGGAUAUCAACGUCAUAAUCCUUCAAUAGCUCCAACCACCGCCGCUGACGCAUAUUGAGCUCUUUCUGUGUGAACAGAUACUUCAAGCUCUUAUGGUCGGUGUAGAUCUCGCAAUGAGCACCAUAUAAAUAAUGUCUCCAAAGCUUUAAGGCAAAGAUUACCGCCGCCAACUCUAGGUCGUGAAUGGGGUAAUUCUUUUCAUAGCUCUUAAGCUGACGAGAUGCAUAAGCGAUAACCUUCCCGCCCUGCAUCAGCACACACCCCAAGCCCAGAUAAGAAGCAUCACUGUAGACGACGUAGUCCUGCCCUUGCACCAGUAAGGCGAGUACCGGAGUCAAAGUUAACCUCUGCUUCAACUCUUUAAAGCUCCGGUCACACUCGUCACUCCAAACGAACUUGGUGCCUUUUUGCGUCAAACGGGUAAGUGGAGUCACAAUCUUAGAGAACCCCUCCACAAACCGUCGAUAAUAACUGGCUAGGCCCACAAAACUACGGACCUCGGUAACAUUCGUCGGCCGCGGCCAAUUCUCAAUAGCCUCCACUUUCCUCGGGUCAACUAAAACUCCACCCUCGGAAAUAACAUGCCCGAGAAACGCAACCUCUCGAAGCCAAAAGUCGCAUUUCUUCAGCUUUGCGUACAAUGUCUUCUCCCGAAGAAUCUGAAGUACUGCGCGCAAAUGCUCCGCGUGCUCCUCGUCGCUACGCGAAUAUACCAAAAUAUCGUCUAUGAAGGCUACGACAAAUCGGUCCAAGCACCCCUGGAACACUCGGUUCAUCAAGCUCAUAACGCUGCCGGGGCAAUCGUGAGCCCAAAUGGCAUCACCGUGAACUCGUAGUGUCCAUAACGCGUGCGGAACGUCGUCUUCUGAACAUCUUCCGGCUUGAUCUUUAACUGGUGAUAGCCGGACUGAAGGUCGAUCUUAGAAUACACUCGCGACCCCUACAACUGAUCAAACAAGUCAUCAAUACGGGGUAGCGGGUACUUGUUCUUCCCCGUGACCUUGUUCAACUAGCGGUAAUCCACGCAGAGUCGAAAUGACCGAUCUUUCUUGCGCACAAAUAAUACCGGGGCACCCCACGGCGAAACACUCAGCCUAAUGAAUUCCUUGUCGAGAAGAUCCUGCAAUUGAUCUCUCAACUCCCUUAGCUCGGCCGGCGCCAUGCGAUACGGGGCCUCAGAAAUCGGCGCUGUCCCAGGAACCAAGUCGAUCAUGAACUCGAUCUCCCGGUCUGGCGGCAUACCCGGUAACUCCGCGGGAAAAACGUCGGGGAACUCCCGCACAACCGCCAACUCCUCGAGGAUUGGAACUGCUCGGUCAAUCUCCACAACGGUCGCCAAAUAAGCGAUGCAACCGCUGUUCACCAGCUUCCUCGCUCUAGUCGCCGAUACCAUCGCGGCGAAACACGAGCUCUUACAAGCUCAAUAGGUAAACUCUUCCUGUCCCGGCUCCCGAAAUGUAAUAACUCGAGUCGGGCAAUCGAUCGAUACAUAGUACUUCGAGAGCCAAUCCAUGCCCAAUAUGACAUCGAAUUCCUUCAACUUCUUGAGCACCAACAAGUUGAUCGGCAUAACCCAGUCAUUCACUCGCACUGGACAUGCCAAGCAUCACUUCCUAAUCAGAAAGGAUCACCCGGGGCCCUCAACAUGUCAAACGUGCUCCCCAAGACGAUACUCAAUAUCAUGCGCUCGUGCAAAUGAUCGACUAAUGAAUGAGUGUGAUGCACCUGUAUCAAACAAAGCUCUAGCUCGAACAUCUUUAACCAAAAUUAUACCUGCCACAACAUUGCGCUCGCCGGCCUCUGAAGGCUCCUCAAUGUGAGCGGGUGCAGCAUACAUCCUUCCGCUCGGCGCAGAUCGUGCAGGCUCUGGUUGGCGUGGCGCCGCCGCUCGCCCAGUAGAUGCUGCAGGAGAGGGCAGAGCAUAGCGAGCUGGAACCGCCGGGGCCGAUGCAGUCGACAUAGCGGGCGAAGCUUCUCCCUGAGGACAGUCGCAAAUCUGAUGUCCCGCUUGCCCGCACUUGAAGCACCUCCCUCGGCGCUACUCACAAACACCCGGCCGGUGGUCUCCGCCGCAGAAGACGCAUCGCUGAGCACCACGACCCUUGGGCUGUGAGCGUUGAUACUUCGGGGGCCUCCUGGAGCUCGACUAGCCACCCGAUCCACCGCCCUGUCUUUUCUUGCCUUUAUCCUUGUCAAACGCCUCACGGUCCUCACGCUCGCAAGCGUUCUCGUGCUCGACCCAUAGCGCGAGAUCUAGUGCUCCCGCCAAAGUGUGGAACUUGAAGGCAUGCACCAACUUGAACACUCCGGGCCGAAGACCUCGAACGAAGCAAUCCGCCCGGUCUUGCUCUGUCGCCGCUACAUCCGGGACGCAGCUCAGGAGAUGGGUGAACUCCCGCUCGUACUCCCGAACUGUGCAGUUGCCUUGCUUGAGCUUGCGGAAAUCUUCCCGCAUCUUCCUCUUAUCACUGUCGGGGACGUACUCGGCGAACAUCAGCUUGCGGAACUCCGCCCAAUCGAUCGGGGGAAGCUCCAGGGAUCGGUCCUGCUUGACCCUCCACCACCAAGUCUUGGCCCGCUUCUCAAAGCAAUGCGCGGCCAAGUUCACCUUGUCCUUCUCCAAGGUGAAAAUGUCCUCAAAUAGGGUCUCCAUAGUCGUCAGCCAAGACUCCACCGCAGCUGGAUCCACCACCUCUCCGUCGAAAGUAGGCGGGCGAAACUUCGUGAACCUCGUGAGCGCCACGUAGCCUCGCUCACGCUCCGCCUCCUCAGCCGCCACCGCGGGGGUAGGAGAACUCGAACUAACCGGAGGAAUAUCCACCGGUGGGGGUUGCGCCGCCACCGGAACCGAAAUGCCACCCACACCCUCGGCCGCAUCAGGGGCGCGAAUCGAAGGCGCAGGCGGACCGCGGCCUGGAUCCGCUGCCGCAGCCGCCGCCGCAGCCUGCUGCUCCAGCAGCUCCUGAAUCCUAUCGAAUCGUCCAGUGAGCGCCACAACAUGCGCUCGCAACUCCUGCACCUCAGUAGGCCCAGCUGGCACUGGCGCCACUGGAGGCACGGCUGUCUCGGGCACCUCUCGAGGUGGUGCCGGAGCGGUCCUACGCACGUAGCGUCUCUUUGGUGCCAUAGCUCCUGAAACGCAAACCGUUGGUUAAUUACUUAACUCGACAACAUCGUCGUAAACACGAAGUAUAACGAUUAAACAACAUCAAUCAGGCGGUAGCUUGCAAGUGUCUUAGUUCUCGACUCUCGGCAUCGUGUUGUCGGCCGCCAACACAAUCACCUUAAGUCAAAAAUUAAUACCACUUGGAUCAUCUCUAGCCAUAACUAGAGUCUCAACAACUCCAAACCCAAUCAUUUAGCUUCCGCCGCGUCAUAGAUUCACGUCGCACUCACGCACCUAUAACCUUAGGGUUAACCAACCUAGAGUCUCCUAGGUCAUCCUAGACUCUCUCUUUUGCUUGCUCUUAACUCGCUCUGAUACCACUAAACUGUCACGUCCCUGACCGCACCACCCGAAAACGGUACCAAUUUGGUCCGGUUCGGGGGCGGCGGGCGCGACCGCCGGACGGACGGAGUUUCCCCUGUCCGCCGAAGGCUAAGCAACAGAUUGUGUACAACAAGUCCCCAGGAAUACAACUUGAAUACAUACACAAUCAAACAACGAUAAUCGAGAGCACAAACAGUGCUACGACCAACUAGAGCAAGCGAUACCAGUAAAACCAUACAAGUUUAUACAAAGAGAGCAACUUAGCUAUUUGAGACAUCAUUGAAACAUUAACCUCUUUCGAUUUCAUUUAACUUUAAACAUUUGAUACAACUUGCGUUCUUUAUCCAAAAUGAAUAUAAAUCAUAAGCUCUCCAAAUCUCACUCUAUACAAAAACUACUCUCAAAUGUAUAACCAAAAGUACGGUAGAGCUAAUGCAAGUAGGAAGGUAAAGCAAUCAACAACUGCUAGGGCGCUAUGCCCUUGCGCGCAUCAUCGACGAAGGCCCGCUGUCCUGUAUACCUGUACCCCCAGAGCCACACGGGGUGAGAACUACAUAGUUCCCAGUGGGUUCGGCCGCGACUCCGCCGAUCUAACCACUAGGUCUCAAGUAGGCAUAGAGAAUAUAUACUGCAAUAUAUAUAUAAAACAAAGUUGACGGGAAAGCGAGUAUGUAAAACUAAUCAAGCUAUGACCUCAAUCUGGAAUCAUGAAUGCAUGAACAAUAAACAAAGCUGUGGUAAAUAAGCAACUAUCAACAUACUACAACAGCUAUCAUAGUAACUAUAAACAUGCUACUAGGUAAGCAGUAAGCUGAUAUGAACAAUGAAUAGCUUACUAUGACAUCAAUAAUGGGUAAGACUCAAUGGGUAACCCAAUCUCCAAAUGAACACAAGGUUCACAAGCAAGGCUCACAUAUGCAAUCUCCUAGGGAUGUCGAGCUGGACUAUCCCCGAGUACGCCUGCGGAUAACAAGCGGCUAUCCGAGCAGCAAGCAGGGCUGCUCUCUAGUGACCAAAUCUCCGGAGCGCACAACUUGAGGGAGCGACCCACCAAGCCAGACAGGCAAUUGAGCCAAGAUUCAUCACGAGCAACAAACAACAACCCUUUGAGGGAAUAUCAUCAUGGAAGCGAGGGUAUACAUGUACCCAAUCUCAUGGUGUCUCAACUACACUAAUGUGAUCAUCAAGGAAACAUCAACAAUGUCAUUCAUCAUGUUUUUCUAACAGAUGCCACUUGUUCAUAGUUUUCUUAACUAGAUGCACUCGGCUCAAUUUGACUCAUUAUCAACACUAGUUUCCUCAUACUAGUUCUUAGCAACAUAAGCAUUAACAUUUCAUAUAGGGUCUAGAUUUUCAUCAAGCAACCUCAUGCAUACUAGAUCUAAAACCAACCAAGCAAUAUAUAUAUUAUUGAACUAAUAGUAUGCAAGUAUAAGCACAAUAAUCAUUUUCAACCCUAUAUGUAUUAUGCACAAUAUGCAAAUGAUCAAUUAAACUUAGACAUAGGAAGGUGGCGAUGACUUCGGGAUGGCACUCCCCCACCUUGGGUGAUGCGCAAACACUCCGAGACCGGCUUCUCGUGCUAGUCUUGUCGCCGCUUAAUUUUCGUUGGUUAACUUUAACCCUUUAGCGACUCGAAUAGACGGAUAUCUUCGCGCCCACUCGUCGGAUCGACGAACGUCUGCCUACGCGUUUUAUAAGCAUAAGAAAUUAGGUUUCUAACCCCUCAAAAGAGAUCAAUCCCUCACAUUUUCAAAAUCCCCAAAAUUUAACCCUAGGUUGGGAUCCAUGAGAGGUUAUGGAUUAUAGUUCAAUGUGAGCUAAUCCAUGUUCUCUAAGCUAUUAGGUUCCAUUUGAACCAUCAAAAGCAACAAAAACCAUAAAACCUAGAAAUCACAAGUUACCAUGAAAGGGGUUGGAGGCUUACUCUAGGGUUUGCUCCAAAGCAAGCCCUAGGCCAAAAACGAGAUGAGAAGGGCUUCAAAACUCUUCUCUCUUCUCCUUCCUUUCUCCUCUCUUUUCUCUCUUUUCUUCUUCUUUUCUCCAACGGUUAGAGAGAGAGAGAGAGCUUAGAGAGAGAGAGGGGCUGUGGGGAGUGAGAGAGGAGAGAGCUGAGGGCAUGAGGGUUAAGUCCUCUAUUGUAACAAAAUGCUAAAAAGCCCUCAUUUUAUCAGAUUUUGCAACUUAACCCGCUGCUGCGCGCUCGUGUACCGGUACACGGGUUUGCGUACCGGUACGCGCCCUGCGUAACGGCCAAACCCGAGAGCAAACCCGAGGGCUGCGCAGCCUGGCAGCAAUGGCUGUACCGGUACAGCCAUCAUGCGUGUACCGGUACACCAGCUCCAGAAAGCUGUUUUCAGCCUCGCUUCGGCUCCACUUCGCGCCAAUCGACGUCAAACCCAUUCCAACACCUUUGGAACUCAUUUUAGCUCUUCCAAACUCGUUGGAAUACCGAAUGGGACUUGUCCCAACUUCCGAUCGCUCACUUUGGUCCAUUGUGCCAAAGUUAGCCGUUUUCGUCGAAUUUCGAUAUCUUACACCCGUACUACCCAGACUAUCACCGGUUAAGCAACUUGAUAGAGGCCAAACCUGAGAGCUGGCUUCUAGGGUGGCCUGCCUGGUACCGGUACUGCCCUGGUGCUUCACUGGUUAAGUAGUGCCCAGACUGCAGUUUGGGCAGUGUUUGGCUCCAAUUCGCGCCGAGCAAUGCUAAAACUCUUCAAUCGCAUUCGAAAUUUAACUCUAACCCCUCCAACACUGUUGGAGUGUCAAUUGGACUUUGUCCAACCAUUUCUCUCACCAAAUUUUGGUCAAUUUGACUAAAGUUCGAUAUAGCCUACCGAGGUUUCGAUAUAUUACAUUCUCCACUGCUUAAAAAUAGUUUUGUCCGUGAAACUAAACACAUACCUUAGCUUGUCGACUCGAAUAAGUGAGGAUACAUCUUUCGCAUUGUCUCCUCAAGCUCCCAAGUGGCUUCACGCACUGCAUGAUUGCUCCACUGGACUUUAACGUAGGGGAUUGUGCGACUUCGCAACCUCCUUUCUUCUCUACCGAGGAUACACACCGGGUACUCCUCAUAGGUCAUGUCCUCGCGUAACUCCACGGGCUCAUACUCUACCACGUGAGUCGAAUUGCGGAUAUACUUGCGGAGAUUCGACACGUGAAACACAUUGUGAACUCCCGCAAGCCUCGGUGGUAAUGCAAGCUUGUAUGCCACCGCACCGACCAGCUCCAAUAUCUCGAACGGUCCAACAUACCGGGGACUUAGCUUCCCAUGGACCCCAAAUCAUUUUACACCUCGCAUAGGUGAUACUUUCAAGAACACGCGGUCUCCAACCGCGAACUCUAAAUCUUUUCUAUGUUUGUUGGCAUAGGUUUGCUGUCUUGAUUGCGCCGUCGCAAGCCGUUGACGAGCAAGGCGAACUUUCUCUUCCGCCUCUCGCAACACAUUGGGACCAAGAGUAACUCUCUUACCCACUUCGCUCCAAUGGAUAGGAGAACGACACUUCUUUCCAUACAAAGCUUCAAAUGGCGCCAUCGCGAUGCUUUCUUGAUAGCUAUUAUUGUACGCGAAUUCUGCCAUCGGCAAAUAAUCGUGCCAUCCGCCCUUGUAAUCAAGUACACACGCUCGAAGCAUGUCCUCAAGGAUUUGUAUUGUCCUUUCUGAUUGACCGCCACUUUGAGGAUAGAAUGUCGUAAGUUGAGCCAUGUGCCCAAAGCGUCUUGCAAGCUCCUCCAAAAAUAAGAUGUGAACCUAGGGUCUCGGUCCGAUACUAUAGACACCAGAACCCUAUGAAGUCUCACAACCUCGUCAAGAUAUACUUAAGAUAACUUAUCUCCGGACCAUGUAGUGUAGAUCGGCAAGAAGUGUGCCGAUUUCGUCAAUCGAUCCACUAUUACCUAAAUUGCAUAGUGUCUGCCUUGAGAUCGAGGCAAACCGAUCACAAAAUCCAUUGCGAUGUCCUCUCAUUUCCAAACGGGUAUUGAUAGACUUUGCAACUUUCCCGCCGAAAACCGGCGCUCCACUUUUACUUGUUGGCACGUAAGACAUUGCGCUACGAACUCCCCAAUAUCUCUUUUCAUGCCCGGCCACCAAUAAUGCACUUUUAGGUCUUGGUACAUCCUUGUGCCCCCCGGGUGAAUACUAUAGGGAGAUUGAUGCGCCUCUUGCAUAAUCGCCUUUCGAAUGUCCUCAUUUUUAGGCACACACCAACGAUUUCGGAAUCGAAGUACGCCAUCGGUCCCAAUGCCAAAAUCAUCGGCACUACCGUUUUUAACUUCACCAUGCACCUUUUGAAGAUAUGCAUCAAAAGCUUGUUGCUCUUUAAUCUUCUCCAAUAAGGUUGGUCGCACAACCAAUGUAGCAAGAGUAGCCGGCACUCCCAGAGCUACCACUUCAAGACCAAACAGUUGCAUCUCUUUUUGCAAUAAUGGUUGGGGUGUAAUUGCCGUAGCCAAGUUUUUCACCGAUUUUCUACUUAGAGCAUCGGCCACGACAUUUGCUCUUCCGGGGUGGUAUAGAAUAGUGAUGUCGUAGUCCUUUAGUAACUCUAAUCACCGCCGCUGUCGCAUAUUUAAUUCUUUUUCGGUGAACAAGUAUUUAAGACUCUUGUGAUCUGUGUAGAUCUCACAAUGCUCACCGUACAAGUAAUGCCUCCACAACUUUAGCGUGAAAAUCACCGCGGCUAGCUCAAGGUCAUGAAUUGGAUAGUUCUUUUCAUAACUCUUCAAUUGACGAGAAGUAUAAGCUAUAACUCGACCAUUUUGCAUCAAGACACACUCGAGACCAAUAUAUGAAGCAUCACUGUACACUACAAAGCUCUCCCCCGGAGUCUGUAGAGCAAGCACCGGGGUCUAUGUCAAUCUUUCCUUUAAUUCCUCGAAGCUCCGAUCGCAAUCGUCGCUCCAAACGUACUUCACCCCUUUGUGCGUAAGGAGCGUUAGUGGAGUAGUUAUUUUAGCAAACCCCUCCACGAACCGCCGAUAGUAUCCCGCAAGUCCAAGAAAGCUACGGAUCUCCACAACACGGGCGAGGCCAAUCCCUAAUUGCCUCGACUUUCUUCGGAUCCACCGAGACGCCGCUCCGGGAUAUCACAUGGCCUAGGAAGGUAACCUCCGAAAGCCAAAAAUCACAUUUCUUUAGCUUGGCAUAAAGCUUCUCUUUUCGAAGUAUUUGCAACACGGUUCUCAAAUGCUACUUGUGUUCCUCCUCGCUCCGAGAAUAAACCAACACGUCGUCAUGAACACCACGACGCAUCGAUCCAAUAACGGUCGAAAGACUCGAUUCACCAAGUCCAUAAAUGCUGUCGGGGCAUUAGUAAGCCCAAACGACAUUACCGUGAACUCGUAGUGGCCAUACCGCGUACGAUACACCGUUUUGUGCACAUCCUUCGGCCUGAUCUUCAACUGAUGAUACCCCGACUGAAGAUCAAUCUUUGAGUAUACCCGCAACCCUUUCAACUGGUCGAAUAGAUCAUCAAUCCUCGGUAACGGGUACUUGUUCUUGAUUGUCACUUUGUUCAACUCGCGAUAAUCCACGUAGAGUCGAAGUAUGACAUCCUUUUUCUUCACAAAUAGCACCGGAGCUCCCCACGGUGAUACGCUCGGCCUCACAAAGCCUUUAUCGAGCAAGUCUUGCAAUUGGGUUUUUAGCUCUACUAGCUCCGCCGGUGCCAUUCUAUACGGAGCCUUCGAAAUUGGCGCUGCCCCGGGAACCAAGUCAAUGCCGAACUCAAUCUCCCGGUCUGGUAGCAAUCCUGUAGCUCCGCCGGAAAUACAUCCGGAAAUUCACAUGCUACCCGAAUGUUCCCAAGUUCCGGGAGCUCCCUUUGAGUCUCUACCAUUGUCGCCAAAUAGGCCACACAUCCACCUUUAAUCAUCUUCCUCGCCCUCGCCGCCGAUACUGUCGCCGCGAAACGCGAGCUUUUACAUGCGCGAUACACUAACUCCUCUUGGUUAGGCUCACGAAAAGUGAUCACCUUGCUCUCGCAGUCGAUAACCGCAGAGUAUUUGGAGAGCCAAUCGAUCCCCAAAAUUACAUCGAAGUCCCACAUUUGGUUUAGGACUAGCAAGCCUCCCGGCAUAAUCCAAUUACCUAUCUGAACCAGACACGCCGCGCACUCCACGUGAAUACUAAAUGAAUGCUCUGGUGCAUUAACCCACCAAUAAUCCGGGCUAUACAACACCUCGAUGCCAUGAGUUUUUUCAAAUGAUGCACCAAUGAAUGAAUGAGAUGCGCCUAUGUCAAAUAAAGCUCUAGCUCUAGUACCAUUGAUCAAAAUAAUACCUGCCACGACAUCAUCUGAAACGGCAGGCUCCUCCACCUGAGUGGCGAAAACCCGUCCACUCGGUGCUCGAGAUCCCUUCGUCUGACGCGGUGCUGAUGAGCGUCCCGCCGACAUAGGAGGUGGCAACCCCGCAAGCUGCCUCGGGGUAGAAGGAACUGAUGCCGCCGUCAGAGCAGAUGACGCCCAACUCGGGCACUCCCGAAUCAUAUGCCCAACUUGGCCGCACUUGAAGCACUUUCCCACGCGCUGUGGGCAAGCCGAUGGUCGAUGCUCACCGCCGCAAAUGAUACAUCAGGUAGGCCUCCAAUUUCUUGACUGCUGUCGGGGAUAUCGAGGGGGUUUUUUAGCAUUCGGCCGGUCCCCGUCACCACUCGCCGCCCGUUUCUUUCCUUUGUCCUUAGACUCGGCCAUAGACUCGCGCUCCUCUCGUGCAUAAGCAUUGCCGUGCUCCGCCCAUAAUGCUCUAUGAAAGAUCUCCACAAGGGUCGUAAGCUUAAAGAUUUGCACUAGGACGCAGUCAAUAAUGUGGGAAACUCCUGCUCAAAGUCUCCCAUUGAACGGUCUCCUUGCUUCAACUUGUGAAACCUGUCCUGUAGCUUUCGUUUCACUGUAUCGGGGAAAUAGUUCACGAACAUCAACCUCCGGAACUCCUCCCAAAGCAUAGGCGGAAGGUCAGAAGAUCGGUCACGCUUUACCCGUUUUCACCACACCUUCGCCGCCUUCUUCAAACAGUGAGUGGCGAGGUGCACUUUAUCCUUCUCCUAGGUAUAUAUAUCCUCGAAGAGUGCUUCCAUCGCAUCGAUCCAUGACUCCACCAUCGACGGCUCCACCUUUUCCCCGUCGAACGUAGGUGGGCUAAACUUCUUGGACAUAACAAGCGCCGCCAAUGCACGCUCCCGCUCCGCCUUUGUAAGGUACCGAACUUCUAAAAUCAUGAAGUUACGUUGUCCAUUUGGUUGGAGAGCCAUUUGAAUGGUUCCGGUAAAGUUGCGGUGUAAUGUAAUAUACCGGAUUUAAAUAUAAAAAUAAAAAUAAAUAAAAAUAGUAUGAGAUACUAUUUUUAUUGGAUUUGGAGAAGUAAAAUAUGAGUUAGAAAUGACUUGUGCUGAAAUUGGAAUGAAAACAGAAGAUUUAGAAUUUUCUGUGAGAGACGGGGCAGAUAAAUUAGCAGAAAAUGCACAGUCUCAGAAAAUUAUGAAAAUUGGAGGACAAGUCAGAAAUAUUUUUAUGAGGCUAGAUUUAAGGUUUCAUAUUUUUCUGACACCCGUAGAGUGAGAAAUAAAAUCCGACAGUUAUCUGAUAAAGAUUACAGUUCGGUACAGUUUUCAGUGACCAAACGGGGUCGAAACUGAAAAGUUAAGAUAUAUUCUUACUCAGUACGUUAAACUGAGUCUACCUGUCAAAUUUGAGCUCAAUCGGACAUUCAGAAGGGUUCCGAUGGAACUUAUCAGAUUUGAGGGACUAAACUGAAAAGUGGAAUAGUUGAGGGGGCUGCUUGUGGAAAAGAGCAUUGCUCUUCUUCUCCUCCCUCAACCUGCGUACACAACCAGCCCCAAACCGACACACCCACACACGCAUGGAUAGGAGAAGAGAACCCUCUCUUUCUCUCUCUAAAUCUCUCCCAAAAUUAAGGGAAUUAGUGGAGAUUGAAGCUUGGAGGUGAAUCGUCAUCAUCUUCUUCAUCUUCUCCAUGGAUUGAAGCUAGUUUUGAGGUAAGCUUUUGCUACCCUUUAAUGGUAGAUCUCUAGAUAUGGGGUUUUGAUCUCUAGAAAUGGAUUUAGAGCUAUUCUAGCAUGCUAAAUAGACACUUGAAUACCGUAUAGCCACAUGGAAUUGUGGACAAUACUCUUUUGAGAAUUGGAAGUCGAGAUAUGCCGGGGUAGGCCAUCUCGUGGUAGAGCAAGGUCCGAAUAUGGUUAGAACACUCGCGAUUGGGUGAUGCACCAAUGAUAUUGCUUUUGAGCAAUGUUGGUAGUCGAAUCGCAAUGCCCCGAGGGGGGAAAAGCAAAUGCAAAGAAGAGUUCUUGCAUGCCGAAUGGUGAGUGAUGUUGGAACGCGUAGAGUCGUUGAGCUUCGACUUGCGUAACCACCAAGAAUGACGGAGACCCGUAAUGCACUUUCGGAGUUACGCUUAGCGAAUGUGAGUGAAUCUGGUCUCACAUCCUCCUUAAUGGACCUCUAAGUUGUUCCAAUAAGUGAAAGACCGCUCCGAGAUGCGAAAGUGCAUUGGAACCCUCGAUUACUCGAUGAGUUAAAUUGAGGUGUGAGUUGGAGAUGGAGUUGAUUGAGUUUCGAGGACGAAACUCUUAUUAAGGAGGGGAGAAUGUAAGGUACCGAACUUCUAAAAUUAUGAAGUUACGUUGUCCAUUUGGUUGGAGAGCCAUUUGAAUGGUUCCGGUAAGGUUGCGGUGUAAUGUAAUAUACCGGAUUUAAAUAUAAAAAUAAAAAUAAAUAAAAAUAGUAUGAGAUACUAUUUUUAUUGGAUUUGGAGAAGUGAAAUAUGAGUUAGAAAUGACUUGUGCUGAAAUCGGAAUGAAAACAGAAGAUUUAGAAUUUUCUGUGAGAGACGGGGCAGAUAAAUUAGCAGAAAAUGCACAGUCUCAGAAAAUUAUGAAAAUUGGAGGACAAGUCAGAAAUAUUUUUAUGAGGCUAGAUUUAAGGUUUCAUAUUUUUCUGACACCCGUAGAGUGAGAAAUAAAAUCCGACAGUUAUCUGAUAAAGAUUACAGUUCGGUACAGUUUUCAGUGACCAAACGGGGUCGAAACUGAAAAGUUAAGAUAUAUUCUUACUCAGUACGUUAAACUGAGUCUGCCUGUCAAAUUUGAGCUCAAUCGGACAUUCAGAAGGGUUCCGAUGGAACUUAUCAGAUUUGAGGGACUAAACUGAAAAGUGGAAUAGUUGAGGGGGCUGCUUGUGGAAAAGAGCAUUGCUCUUCUUCUCCUCCCUCAACCUGCGUACACAACCAGCCCCAAACCGACACACCCACACACGCAUGGAUAGGAGAAGAGAACCCUCUCUUUCUCUCUCUAAAUCUCUCCCAAAAUUAAAGGAAUUAGUGGAGAUUGAAGCUUGGAGGUGAAUCGUCAUCAUCUUCUUCAUCUUCUCCAUGGAUUGAAGCUAGUUUUGAGGUAAGGUUUUGCUACCCUUUAAUGGUAGAUCUCUAGAUAUGGGGUUUUGAUCUCUAGAAAUGGAUUUAGAGCUAUUCUAGAAUGCUAAAUAGACGAUUGAUGCUUGAAUCAUAGAUCGAUUUAAUGAUUUAUUGCCUAGUUGUAACAUAGGGCUCUAAAAUGCAAGUUUUGCUACUAGUAGGGUUUGAUCUCAUUUAACCCUCUGUAAACCUAAUUGAUAGGUCACUGAACGCGUUGGAAGCGACGGUUCGGCGUUGGAAGCGACGGUUCGGCGAUUCGUCGAGCCGGUGCAAAGUUAUUAAAGAAACGGACGUUUAGGCUUCGUUUCCGCCUGGAGGGCCGAGGCGACGUCGUAAAAUCGUGGAAACGGAUUUGAAGCACCGUAGCGAGAAACCGAAGACCUAUAAUUUCCAGAUCGCGGAUCGGAGGUCGUUUGGUGGUCGCGCACCGAUUGGGUCGAGCCGAGCGGCGUGCGCCGCGGGAGGCCGAUUGCAAGUGACGACGAGCAAUCGGAACGCGGUAAAAGGUGGGGGAGUGCCAUCCCGAAGCAAUCGGGUUUCUCCUUAUGUCUAAGUAUUUCUAUGUUGAUCAAUUAUGCAUAUUGAGCAUGAUGCAUUAUAGGGUGAUAGUUGAUGGUUGGUUCUAUAUAUAUAUAUAUUGCAUGCUUCUUGAAAGAGUAAUGUAUUUGGCUUAGUGCUUAUAUCUAGCAUGCUUGAGGUUUAUAUAUGCGAUGUGAAACCCUAUAAGAAAUGAUAGGUGUAGAUGAGAACUUAGUAAUAUAUUGGCUAUUGCAUUGGAAACUUUAAACAUGUCAUUGAUCAAGUUGCAUAUUAUGAUGUUGCAUAUAGGGUGUUUAGAAACUUGUAUCUAUAUUUGCAUGCUAGUGGUAAUGUAGCUUGGUAGAUAUAACACUUGAAUCUAGUAUGCAUGAAGUUAGUAUGUGCACCUUAACCCUAUAUGAGAUAAUAUGUAACGGAUUGGAACCUAGGCAAAUGAUAACCUAGUGUUUGUGUUGUGUGAACGAAGAACCUAGUAAAGUGUGAACUAGAGUCUUGGAAACUUGUAAAGGACGAGUGGCAUCUAGUUAAUGUUAACCUAUGACGAGUGGCAUCUAGUUGAUAGCACAUAUGAGAACCUUAGUGUAGUUGAAACACUAGAAGGUUGAGUAUUAGAUUGGCAUUGAGUUGAUGAGUUGUUAACCCUAGAUAAUAGGGUGUUCCCAGUGGAUGACACUAUCCUUAGUUGAUAGGAUGUUCCCAGUUCAUGAGAUUGGAUCGAGCUCACAUAGCCUGUCUGCACCUGUGGAGGUCGCUCCUCACAGGUAGUGCACUCCGGAGUUUGGCACGCGAGGGGGCCAGUGUAGUUGCCCUUGGACCAGUGUAGUGUCCGCAGGCGGUCUCGGGGUAGGUGAAGAGCUAGCCACCUCCCUAGGAGAUUGAUACACGUGAGACAGUGUGCGAGCCUUGUGUUCGCUGAGAGAUUGGGUGAUCAGAUGAAUGACAUCGUUGUUGAACCUAGUAGCAUGGUAGCUAACCUUUACUAUGAGUUGCAUCGACAUUGAGCAUAGUCACUUGGUAGUUGGACUAGUGGAUUUGCCUACAUACAGUGAGUGGACAUACUAUUCCUUCACCUAUGAGAUUUGAGAGGGACAGCUUGUACCUAGUAGAGCGAGAUUGAGUCGGGCAAGGAGCGGGGUAGCUCUUUGCCUAGGACCUUUGAGAUUGAGUCGGGCGAGGAGCGGGGUAGCUCUUUGCCUAGGACUUUCGAGAUUGGGUCGACCUAUGAAGAUACAGUCGGCAAGGAGCGGGGUAGCUCUUUGCUAGGACUUGAGAUUUGAGACCUAGGCAAUUUGGCCUAAUUGAUGGGUGUAACAGGAAUUGAUUAAGUGGAUUGCAUUUCAUACGAUGAUUAGACAUAGUAGACUUGCAUACUAUGUUUAGUUGUAUUUCAUUUCACUGUUGAAACAUACUAGCAUGGGGAUAGGUAGAUAUUUGCUAGUGACUAUGUGCCCGAUGCAUUCCUUAUUUAAUUGAGCAUAGUAGAAUAUAGUAGCCCACGGCCAUUUAUUUCCACUAUAUCUUUCUUAUCUAUCUAUCUGUGCCAGCUUAGACUUAGUGGGGAGAAAUAUCGCGGAGUCGGCGGCCGAACCCACUGGGAACUAUAUUUUAAUAGUUCUGCACCGAGUUUCGGUGCAACUGCGUCUCUCUUGCUCGAUUAGCGACUCAAGACGGCGCAAUGUCGACGCGCGACGCCAGUGAGGUUUGUGGAUUUUGGGGUACAGGUACCCAUUAGUGGGACACACGAGAAGCCGCAAUGCGGCAGAGGAAUCACGGUAUUGGGCUUAGCGCCCUAGAUUUUUUUGGCCUAUUGGGUAUUUACUUUCCUAUUUUGGCAUUAGAGUUACCCAUUACACCUGUAUUGAGAGUAGAUGAUGUAUAGGUGUGAGGCUGUUUUGAGAUAAAUGUAAACUAAUGUUUAUACUUUGGAUGAAUGUAAAGCUAAGUUGUAAUUAAAUGUAUCAAGUUGAAUGGUUGUAAUAGAAUAGUUAAGUAUCUCUCUUUUGUUUCACUUGUAUGUCUACUACUUGUGACGCUUGCUCUUGUAAUGUUCAGCACUGUUUGUGCUCUCGCUGUUGUUGCAUGAUCAUGUAUGUAUUCAAGUUGAUUUCCUGGGGACUUGUUGUACAUGAUCUCGUUGUUGAGCCUUGGGCGGACAGGGGAGGUGCUGUCCGUUCGGCGGUCCGCCUGCCGCGCUCGAACCGUGCCAAAUCGGUAGCGGCCUCGGGGCGCGGGGCGUGACAGCCUUCAUAGCCACACCAUCGGGAUUUGAGGUUCCCGAACCGGCCGGCACCGCCGUGACUGGCACAGCGGUCGCAGCCACACCCUCGGUCGCACUCGGCACCACUACAGGGGGCGCAGGGUGCUCGGCGCCCACUUGAGCCGCCACCGCUUGCUGUCGCUCUAAGGCCUCUUGAAGCCUUUGAAUUUGCUCCCCUUGGCGCUGCACGGACUCCGCUUGUUGUCGCACUACUCCAAUAAGUGCGGACAUUUGCUCCCGAAGCUCCUCGUCGCCACUUGCCCCGGAUUGCUCGGGGGCCGCAUUCAGCUUCACAGGCAUUGACCUUGUUCGAGGUCUACCAUGAGCCAUCGCUUCCUAAAACGUAGCAAUUCAUGUUAGCUACACGACCAACUUACUUAGACAAACCCAAUCCGGCGAAAGCAAACAAGUGUAUUCAUUCUCAUUCCAAAGAAUUAUGUCGUCGACCGCCCGACACAACACAAGGAGUAGAGAACAAAUAUCAACUUGGAUUAGUCCCUAACAACAUUAGAGACAUACUAACAUCAACCCAAUCACAAAGCUUUCGCUAUACUUAGAUUCCACGUCACUCACGUUUCCUAGAUCCUUAAGGUUUCCAUUCCGAAGGGUCUCUAGGUCCAUCCUAUACUUUUACUUUUCAGUCUUUGAUACCACUAUAUCUGUCACGCCCUGAGCCCGCCUAUUUGGCCGAUUCGGGCACGUCGAACAGACGCCGAACGGACAGCACCUCCUAUGUCCGCCCAAGGCUCAAUACAAGUACAAAUCAAGUAUAUAGAUUGCACAAGUGGAAACAGAAUAUACAUGGCUUGCACGAGGGCAAGUAGUAGCCAAAAGUGAGAGAUUCUAAACUAAACAUUCAUACAAGUAUAAUGAUUAACUUUUAACCACAUACAUGCAUUCAUCUUGUAAAUGCUUUUACAUUCUUUCCAUCAUUUCUUUUACAUCACACGAUUUCCCAAAAUAUAAACCUCUUUACAUUAUUUAUCAUAUCCAUAAUACUAACAUCAGCAAAUACAAAAGAUAAUAUAUAGGGAAUGCAACUAAAUAAAUAUGGACCCGACUCGGGUAGUCACUGUCUAUGGUGCGAUACCUUUACCGCGAUCGUCGGCCGGCUCACUCGGUUCCGGCUCUAUGAAAAAUAGUGGGGUGAGAACUAUAACAAAGUUUUCAGUGAGUUUGGCCGCCGACCUCGCCGACUUUCCCACUAGGUCUAAACCAGACAUAAUAGAAGAAUAAACAGAUAGAUAGUAACCAAACUAUACAAAUGUAGCUAAUAUGCCUAAACAAGAUAUAGUCAACAAUGAUGCUCAAAUAGAAUGCUCAUGAUGCAUGCAAGAUCACAUUUUCAUUAUUCAAUCUCUUGGCUUACCCGUAGGUUUUGCCCAAAGCAACUCACCAACCCCAAAUCCCUAAUAUCGGGGAGACUACUACGAUCCGACGGGACCGUCCUCUGGAAAAAACACCAACCCAGUGAUGACUACUCCGGAGCUCAUUGCUUGAGAUGGAGCUACUAUCCUCGAGCCAUGACUUAUACGCGAGUAUGAUCCAAUCCUUAACUAUAAGGAUGCUAAGCUCAAUCCAAUCCUUAACUCUAAGGAUGCAAUGCUCAUUUGACCCUUAACUAUAAGGAUGUUAUGCCACGUUGUGUCAUAAUGUCAACUAUCUCAUCUUUUGCAUUCUUUAACUCUCAUUAGUGUCACACACACUACAUGUUCUUUAUACUCAAUCUCAUGCAUUUAUUGUUCUCAUUAAUGCCACACUUGUAACACUAGCAUUCAAAACUCAUUGAUGCCACUCUACUAUUGAUGUCAUAAUGUCAUUUGUUCUCAAUGUCACUAGAUUCUUUGCCUUUACUAGGUUCUUGUCAUCAUUCACGCAUACGUAGGGUUUUACAUGUUCUCAUUAGUUUAGAAUAAUCUCAUAUGCAUUUGUACUUACAACAUGGAACAAUAUACUCUCAAAUCACCCUACAAUGCAUGAAGCUCAAUAUACACAUAUGCUCAAGAAAUGACAUUUUAGAGAUAAAAGAAAAUCCGAGGAUUUCGGAAAGCACCACCGACCUCGUAUGGUUGCUAAGGUGCUACAGUUCAAUUUUCGUGAUUUUUAGCCGCCUAUUCUCUCGCCUGCGGUAAAACGAAACCAAAUUAGGCUUUUUCCCCGAUUCCUUUGCGUAUACUCGUCGGAUCUUCGAACCAAGUUCACCAAUGCAUCGGAAAUAUCUUCAAUUAGGUUUCUACAAUGUCAAUUUACAUUUAAACCGAUCUAUGAGAAAAGCCCCAAUUUUGAUGCCCUAACAAUGCCCUAUAGCAUAAGCACCAAAUGGAUCUUGGAGAUAAGCAAAAACAAGCUUAAUAUCAUCUAAAGAUCCAUCUAAAACCAUUCGUAGGGCAUUUGAACCAAACCCUAGACAUCUACCAUGAGAGCUCAUGGAGCUUACCUCAAAAGCUAUCAUUUCCUUGAGCUAAGGAAGAAGAAGAAGAAGUUUUUCACUUCCUUGCCUUCUUCUCCACCAAAUCCUCCGUCAAAUUCUCUCUAAUCCUCCUUGGUGAAGAGCUCCUAGAGAGAGAGAAGGGGAGAAAAAUGAGAGAGAAAGGGUGGGUUCACUGCUGUGAACAAGAGAGGAGAGGUUGGGAUAUUUUUAUAGGCUGCCACAAUAGCAAAUAAACUCUCCAACUCUUUUUAUUUGCAGCAGACCCAGCCUGCUGUUCGCAGCGCUGCGUACCGGUAUGCGGGUGGGCGUCACCGAUACGCCCCUGUUCAACAGCCCCAACCUGAGAGCUGCUGUUCUCGGGUUGUUGCGGGGUACCGGUACUACCCAGAUUGUCACUGGUUAAGCAGCUUGAUAGAGACCAAACCCGAGAGCUGGUUUCUCUGAUCGCCUGCCUGGUACCAGUACUGCCCUAGUGCUUCACCGGUUAAGCAGUGCCUAGACUGCAGUUUGGGGAGUGCUCGGCUCCAAUUCGCGCCGAGCAAUGUUAAAACCCUUCAAUCGCAUUCGGAACUUAACUCUAACCCCUCCAACACUGUUGGAGUGUCAACUGGGCUUUGUCCAACCAUUUCUGUCACCAAACUUUGAUCAAUUUGACUAAAGUCCGAUAUAGCCUACCGAGGUUUCUGUAUAUUACAAUCGAUCUGCCCACAGCGAGAGGGGAGGUAUUUUAGAUUUGGCCAGGUUGGACAUGUUAGCCGUGAGUGUCUGGGUAGAUCGUCUACUCCGACGGCUGCAUCGGUUUAGUUUAUCGCAAUACAGCUAGCGGGAUUGCCACCUGCUAUGUCGGCUGGAUGCUUAUCUGUGCCGCGUCAGCCAAAGGGAUGAAAUUAUGCUAACAAGUGCUGGAAAGAUCUUGAGUUCGCGGUUGGAGAUCGCGUUUUCUUGAAGGUAUCACCCAUGCAUGGUGUGAAGCGGUUUCGUAUUCGAGAAAAGUUUAGUCCCCGAUACAUUGGACCGUAUGAGGUUUCUCGGUGUGUAUCCUUGCUCAAGAAGUGAGGAAAUUGCGUAAUCAUACAAUUCCGUAUGUAAAGGUUCAGUGGAGCAAUCAUGCGAAGCGUGAGGCCACUUCGGAACUCGAGGAGAUGAUGCGAACAACCUUUCCUCAUCUGUUUGAGUAGAUGAGCUAAGGUAUGGGUUUGAGUUUCUGUCACGCCCCGGGACCCAGCGGAAGCCCGCCCGGCGCGUGCCCAGACCCGCCAUAUGUUUAAAACAUACAAGGCGUCUAAAACAAAACGAUAAAUAAAGCAGUAGAACAAAGGAAUCUAACGAUAUCAGAGCAAAGUAAAUAACUAUGUUCUACAACAGAGGUGGAAGUAUAAAACUGAAAUCCACUAAUAGAGCCAUAAAGUAGUACAAAGGAAAUCCCAAAUACAAAAACUAAACAUAAAAAGUAUAUAGGUGGUCUCUCUAUACAUGGUACUCAAAAUCUCUUUCUCUCUAGUACAAAAGGAAAGAGUAAACCACCUAAGCUCAACAGUAGCUCCCCGCUAACUAGCUACGCGACUCCUUUGCCGCGAUCCCGUGCCUCCGCAGAUGUCGAAGGUUCUGAAAUAAAACCAUAAAACAGGGGGCGUGAGAACUAUUAAAUAAUAGUUCCCAGUGGCCAAUUACUGACUUUAGUGAAAUGCGCCACUAGGCCCAAAAGCUACAAAAAGGGGUCAGUGUAUAAGUAUAAGCGAAAGCGGUAAGAACAACUAGGAAAUAAACAUGAAUACUACUCAACCAUGAUGUCUCUACUUAACAUGAUUUGCAUAAGUAAGAAAGCAACUACUACAAGUAUGUGCACAAGAGUAACCCACAUGUAAAUGCAUAAGUACGCAACUAACCCAAUGUCCACAAUGUAAAUAGUAAAGAUGUCAUUGUUUACUAUUCUAGUCAAUGUCCACAUGUCACUUUGACUGUUUAAAGUUCAACUUUGAUAGGACCCACCCGAAGGCUAUCUGGCAUGAAGACCCAACUGAAGGCUGUCUGGCCUGUAAGACCCACCCAUAUGCUGUCUGGCCAGUGCCGUGCCUAAUGGCCCCGUGGUAGUCAACAUCCCCACUCUUAGGGAUAAGCCUUUCCCACGGCAAUCCACUUCGGCGCCCAAUCCCGCACGGCAAACGUAUCGCGAUGGCUAACUCCGGAGUGCCGCCUUGUAGGGAGCCACCCUCACAAGCAUGUGCGAAUGAGUACAAUGGCAAGCAUGCAUAUAAGUCUGUCUCAAGUCUCACAUCCUCAUGUCUAUGAACAUGGAAUAUAUCGAAUGCCACAAAGGCCUAUCACUAUGUCAUCAUGUCUCUGACAUGGAAUAUAGUCGAUGUCCAAUGGCCUAUCACUAUGACUCUAUGUUGCAUUUUCAUAGUUUACUAGUUUCAAGUGCCCCUUUAUGACACUUUUGUUCAACGAGUCCAAGCAUGAUGAUUAUGUUCCCGAAUGCAUAAUAUGAGUCAUUUUAAACAUAGAAGACAAGUUUUCCACUAGCUAAUGCGAUUAUUUUUCACAUUCAUGCAGCAUAUCCAUAAGGCUCUACUAUAUAGAGUGAAAUUUUCAUCAUACAUAAUGCACGCAUUUUAAGUGUUCUAAAAUUCACAUAAUUCAUAUUUAGCAUGGAUUUGCAUUCAAAAAUACUUUACGACAAGUAUAGAAAACAUAGGGGCCAUUUUGCCCCGUGUUCAUGAAGCCAAACCCACCAAAAAUCAAAACUCUUCGUUUCGCCGAACGGAGUUGUCCAUAAGUCUCCUAGCACCCUAAAAAUGUAGGAACAAGAGUUACAAAAUCGAAACGAACAUCGGAAAGCUCAAUCUUAACCAUCUAAGCAUAGAGGGCAUAACUCACCUCUUGCGAUGAAAUGCCUUCUCAAGCUUCCAAAGAGAGCAAAAACCCUUUCAACCUAACCUAGAGGAAGGUUCUAAACCCAUCAAUUAGGUCUCGAAGCCCUCAAAUCAAAAAUUCCCAAAAUAAACCCUAAAUCUCAUUUCUAGGGUUUCAUCUCCCAUAAUCUACCAAAAAUAGGUCUAGAGGGGAGAAAUAGGCAACUAACCUCAAGAGGAGAUCCAAACCAAGCUCAAAAUGCUUUAGGGUUAUAGAUUGAUCCUCUAUCGAGCUCCUAGCCCAAGCCCCAAGCCUCCAAUGGUGAGCAAAAGAGAGAGGAAGAUGCUCAAAGCCUCAAGAUCUUGCUAUUCCCCAACUUCUUCUUCUUCUUCUCCUCCUUCUUCUCUCUCUAGAAGUGUAAGGGAGGGUGAGAAAUGAGAGAGUGAGAGGGUGGAAAUGGCCUUAAGGCCCUUAGAAGCAACAAAAUCCAUUCGUGAUUCACAUCGUGAGUUAUUUUCCAAUUUCUUCGAAAUCUUGAAUUCUUUGAUCUUUGACAAUACGCACCGAUUCCUCAAGACUCCGACUCACUUCACGAAACUUGCCAACACACAAGGCUUAACAAUCUCCCCCUUUGGCAAUUUCGUGACAAAACUCACAACAACUCAAAAAUUACAUUUUAAAGAAAAACGAAGUUCAUUGUCAUCACCAAAACAUCGAACCCCUCGUAUAUAGUCCAAAUACAAUUCGAAACUCAAAAGUACAUCAUAAACUCCUAAAACAGACUCUAUGACUUAGACGCAACUAGGAGUCUUGAAGUCUUGAUUUCCUGCAAAACAGAGAGUAUCCAAGAUAAUGUAGAACAUUAGAUUCUUAUACAUUCUCCCCCUUUGUUCUCAAUCACCUCUCCCCCUUUGUUUUCAAUCACCUCUCCCCCUUUGUUUUUGAAGUUCAUCCUCUNAUCAUAAACUCCUAAAACAGACUCUAUGACUUAGACGCAACUAGGAGUCUUGAAGUCUUGAUUUCCUGCAAAACAGAGAGUAUCCAAGAUAAUGUAGAACAUUAGAUUCUUAUACAUUCUCCCCCUUUGUUCUCAAUCACCUCUCCCCCUUUGUUUUCAAUCACCUCUCCCCCUUUGUUUUUGAAGUUCAUCCUCUGCAUUCUCUGCUUGCAUUCUCUGCUUUGAUCAAUACCUAUUCUUCUUAUGAUCUCCCCCUUUUUGUCAAAAAAUUGCCAAAACUAAAGCAUAUAGAGAAAGAAUAUACUAAGAAGCAAAAGAGUAGUCAAGUCAUAGUUACAGGCCUAAAGCAAAAUUAAAAACAUGCAAAAGAAAGAUAAGCAAGCAAAGCUAAACUAAAACAUCGUCCUAAAAAGCAAACACAGUGAAGUAAAAAGACUAAGCUCGACAAAGAAAUCACUCCGUGUCCUCGUCAUCAUCAUCAUCAUCAUCUGCCCUAGCUCCAGAUCCCCCAGCCUCAGGAGCAUCACCGGACGAUGAAAUGAGUAGAUGUCGUGAUGUCGAUCUAGUAUAAGUGGAGUAGGUAGGCUGAGUAGGAAAUAUAUUGUCAUGCCUACAUCCCAGUUUUUCCAUAAUCCUGUUCAUUCCCAACUCCACCUUCUUAGCAAGAUCUGCCACUUUCUUCUUUAAGGAGCGCACUUCAUGAUGAAGUGAUUCUACAGUAAUCACUCCCCCUGAGCUCGAAGAUCCCUCACGCUCUGCUUGAGGUGGAGGUGCUGAACUAGAAGCUCCUCUGGAUGAUCCCUUAGUUUGCUGAAAAGUCUUCAGUGUGCUUUUUGACUUGGCCCUGGUUACAGCAUCAAUCGGUCCAAGUCCAGUGUCAUACUUGUCACACGACACGUCAACUCCGUGUUCUUGAAGAAUCCUCGUGAUCAACAACGGAAACGGAAGUAGAUCACGUCGAACUUGAGACUAUAUAACAUGUGCCAUUCUUUGCCACAUCAGAAAGGGAAUAUUGAUAUUUAACCCGUCCGCUUCCUCAGGAUGUCCAAGAAGAUAUAGAAGCACCAGACGAUCCCAACGAAUCCUUUUGUUCCAAUUGUAGGUUGAAUAUUGUAGCUCAUCACCAAGUAGAGUAAAUGAUACUCAGGUCGCAAAUCCUUGAAUUCCACGUAUGAAUAAUUCAUCCUCACGCCUUCUUUGCAAAUUGCUUGAAUAACAAUCUCCCAGUGGGUCGAAGACUGAUAAAGCCCUGUCGUAUAGUGAAGACCGGUAGUAUCAACAUGCAUCCCUAAGUGCUCUCCAAUCGUGUAAGGAGUGACUUGAAUCUUCUGCUUACGCACAUUUGUCUCAAACACAUAAGUCCCAGUCUCCUCAUCCUCUGCAAGCACCAUCCCGUUCAUGUAGAACUCCUGAAUGAGUUCCACACAGAAUGGAGCACGAGCUGGAACCCGUCCGACGGGCUCAAUAGGGACCCUCUGCAGCAAUCGACCAAAAUCUGGAACCUCCUUGAUCAGCUCAGUAAAGUUGACAUAGCGCUCAGCUAGAACUGAUCGGCUCGAAUAUAUCCUCUGUCGCUCUGAUGAAACCUCUGCAGCACAUUUGGAGCGACUCUCACGCGCACGAGAAUCACCUCCUCGCGAGGAUUCUCCAGCUAUGCCUUUUCCUUUAGGAGCCCUAGUAAAAGCUUCUUCAGUAGCUUCAGGUGAGCUUGCUUGAUAAUCCGGAUCGGAUCCUGAUGACUCAUCGGCAGUACGAGUCCUCUUUGAUGUCCCACGACGCCCUCGACCACCACCACGGCCACGACCGGCGGUCAUAAGCACCAAAAGCAGAAUCACAAGCGAGAACGCCAUUUUUCCUACAUUAAAAUGAGCCAUACAUGAACAAAAUUUUGAAAAAAUCUGUAAAAAUAGCAAAAAAAAUCUAAUAUUCUUAGAAUGCAUACUAACGCUAUUUCAAACUCAUUCAUGCAAAAAAUUUCAUCAAAAAUUGACAUUCCAACAACAAUCCCGAAAUUCCAUGUAUAAUGAUAUAAAGAUCAUAAAUCAGCGAAAAAUAACGCAUUAUGACAUGAUCUAAACGUUCUAGAAGCAAGAAUACAUGCAUACAAACUGAAACGAAGCAAAAAAUUGCAUCAAAAACGAAUCAAAACAGAGAUCUAGCUUCAACUCGAAAUAUUUUCGAAAAAUAGGCAAGAACGCGAUGAAACGAUUAAAUCUAAGCUAAAUACUCACAAAUUUUUGGGGAAACCGAGUAGAUCUGGAAGAGGAAGUCUCCUGGGGAUUUUAGAGAGAGAGAGAACGAAAUUUGGUAAAGGUUUGGAGGAGGAAAAAACCCUGUAACCGGUUUUAUUUCCGCGGCUACAGUGAUUUGUACCGGUACACAGGAUUUUGUACCGGUACACUUUUCCAGAUUUCGUAAAUUUGAAUUUAGAAAACCUUUAAACUUAAAUUAAUUUCGUACAAAUUAAGGACUUUACUCCAAAAAUCAUUAUAAUAAAGGUAAAAUAUUAUAAGAUUUCAAGAUACAUUGAAACAUCAAAAUUUUGUUAUCAAAAAUGACCUCGAGUUUCAAAAUCAUCAAGAUGUAACGGUUCACGAAAAAUGAUUUUUUGAAAUUCGGCAAAAUUGACACCAAUUUGUCGCAACCCGUUCAAAAUAGAGAUUUAACUAAUAUGAUACCGGGGGUGGCUCUUUGAGCAUCUUUUUCAAACUAACACCUUAUAACUCCGAAAAUUCUAAAAUAUUCAAUUUUUUUUCAACCUUUUCGGUUAUUCAAUUCAAUUUUCAUGUGGUAGCUUCACACACUUGGCGCACGACCGGGGUGGUAGCUCUUUCCUACAUGUGGUGGUAGUUUUCACACUCCUUUUAGGAUAGAACUCUUUCCACAUCUUUUAAACAUAGGAGUAUCUUUUUUCUUUUUUUAAAAAAAUAAUUUCAAACUCCCCCUAAAUUAGACAAUCUCACAGUUAAAAGUAAUUUUGACAAAAUUUUAGUCGAUUAGUAAAUAUCCAUCCAUCAUAUCCAACACACACAACCAAGAUGAAUUAAUCACCAAAAGAUCAAAUUGAUUUCAAAAUUUUGAUGAAUAUAUGUAUAAUUCUUGUAAUCAAUUAUCAUCAAAAUAACACAAAAUGGAGUAAAAUCGAUAAUUUAAUUCAAGAUGAAUUCUGGUUAAGGCACUUUGAAAAAUUCUAAUCUCCCCAAAAGAAAGAUUUUCAAUCAUCUCCUUUCUCAAAGAAAAAUUUUAAACUUCCCAAACAUCUUUCCUCAGAUCAAUUUUAAAAAUAAAUUUUGCACACGAAAAUCAUCAUGUAAUGCAAUGAAUAAAAAUAUGCAACAAGCACCAAACAAGGCAUUACAUAAACAAUCAAAACAAACUAAGACGAAGAGUAAGGAAAGAUAUCACCUUUCCGAAUCCAAACUUGUCGGAUUUUGCGUUGUCUUGUCUUGUCGACGUUAGGCACAAUUUGCUUUGAUUUUUGAUCAACCGUUGGUCGUUUCAUUGCUUGAGGCUUCAGUUGAAAUUGUUGAUGAACCUUUGAAUUCCGGUUUGCUUGUGGGUAUGGUCGAACUUGACGUUGUGGCUUAGAAGUCUGAUUCCCUCGAGGUACUCGACUCAAUUGAUUUUUCUUUUGAUUCCAUGGGGGAAGGCGAGUUGCCGAUUGUGGUUUAGACAUUGCCGAUUGAUUCUUCUUUUUCUUAUUUGGGCAAUUCUUUUUAAUGUGUCCCUUGAUGCCACAUUUAUGACACACCUUCUUUUUCGAAGUUGUUGAGACUUUAGAAGUUGAUUUUGAAACCUUCUCAACACAUGUUCUUUCAUAUCCGAGACCCAACUUGCUCGUUUGACCUAAUCCAAGCAUAUGAUCUAAUUUCUUUGAACCGGAAGAGAAUUUUUGUAUGUCGGAUUGAAGUAGACGAACUUGAUUGGUCAAUGACUUGUUAGAAGUGUGCCAUUCCUCGAAUUGUUGCUCCAAAAAUCCAAUCAUGUCUUUAUAAAAUUUGAUCGUUGAUUCCGCUUCAUCAAGCUUCUCUUGAAGGAUUGAACGAUCAUUCAAAUUUGAUUCCCUUUCCUCCUCGAGAGCACUUGUAACAUUCCGGAUUUUGAUAUAAAAAUAAUAAAUAAAUAAAAAUAGUGUGAGAUACUAUUUUUAUUGAAUUUAGAGAGGUAAAACAUAAGUCAGAAGUGACUUGUGCUGAAAUCGGAAUGAAAACAGAAGAUUUAUAAUUUUCUGUUGGAAACGGGACAGAUAAAUUAGCAGAAAAUGCACAGUGUCAGAAAAUUAUGAAAACUGGAGGAUAAGUCAGAAUUAUUUUUAUGAGGCUAGAUUUAAAGUUUCAUAUCAUUCUGACACCCGAAAGGUGGAAAAUAAAAUCCGACAGCUAUCUGACAAAGAUUACAGUUCGGUACAGCUUUCGGUGACCAAACGGGGUCAAAACUGAAAUGUUAAAAUUUUUUUGUACUUAUUAAGUAAAACUGAGACUGACUGUCAAAUUUGAGUGCAAAUGGGCAUUCAGAAGGGCUCCGGCGAAAAAUGUCAGUUUUAAACUGCCUGGAGUGAUAGUGUUUGAGGGGCUAUUAUGUAAUUAAGCUUGCCUUUCUCUUGUCUUCUCCCACAGCCGACCACACCACCAACACACGCACGCAUGGAGAGGGGGAGAGAAACCUUCAUUUCUCUCUCUAAAUAUCUCUCUCAUCUCUCUAAAUCUCUCUCUAAAAAUUGGAGGGUUGGUGGAGAGCGAGCUUGCGAACGCGUUGGGAGCGACGGAUCGAGCUUUCGUGCGGCCGUUGGAGCAACGUGCUUUCGUCGCGGCAUUCACAUUUUGGUAAGCUUUUGGGAUUUGGUUUAAAUCCUUCAUGAAUGAUGUUCUAGUAGUAUCUAGAGUGUUCUAAACAUAUUUGCUCCAUUUAAUUUGGAUUAUUUGGAGAUUAUUUGCACGUUAGGGCUCUGAAUGGGGUUUUGUAAAAUAGUAAGGUUUGAUCUCAUUUGACCCUCCGUAAACCUAAUUGCUAGGUAAACGAAUGCGUUGGCGAGGUCGGUUCGGCGAUUCGUCAAGCCGUUGUAAAGAUAUUGAAGAAACGGACUAUUUAGCUCCGUUUCCGCCUGGAGGGCCGAGGCAACAUCGUAAAAUCAUGAAAACGGAUUUGGAGCACCGUGGCACAUAACCGAAGACCUAUAAUUUUUGGAGCAGCGAUUCGACGCACGGUUGGUGAGUAUUAGUAAAAUCGGACCGAACUGGACACGGGUGCCGCGGGAGGCCGAUUGCAAUGUCGACAAGCAAUCGGAAAACGAUUUGAGGUGGGUUGUGUUUACCGAAGCGAUUAGGUCGCCCGGCAUAUCAAAGCGGAAUAUGAAUUUUUGUUGAUGCAUAUGUAUGUGUAUACGGGCAUGUUAGCAUUAUGUAAAUGUAUGCUAAUGGGUAGAAUACAUGCUAGUGAUAAUUGCAUAAUAAUGCAUUGGAAAGUACAUGCUAGUAAGUAGAUGCAAGUGAUGUGCAGGUUGGCAUUGUAAUGUGCUAGGUGAAAGAUAAUGCAUGUAAACCUAAUUGAUAGGUUUAGGGAAUUAUGCAUGUGAACCUAUUUGCUAAAUGGAAACAUAGGCAUGCUAGCAUCAUGUAAAUACUUGCUUGUUGAUGAUUGCAUAUAAAUAUUAUGUAUGCUAGUUGAUAAUUGCAUGUUGAUGCAUUAGAAGUGCAUGCUAGUUGAUAAUGGCAAAUUGCUAUGUUGAAAUAUAUGCUAGAUGUUAUUUGCAUGUGACAUGUUAACCUACAUGCCAGAAGAGAGCAUAGUGACAUAAUGAGAAAAGUAUAAUAUCCAUGUUGAUAACGUGGAUGUUUAUAGAAACUCGAUGUGGACAAUUAGGUAUUGAGUAGAUCGAGUGGCAUUAACCUACUGUUAAUAAACAUUGGUCGGACAAAGAUGACAUUGAACAUAGUGUUAGUAAACAUAGGUUGCAUUGAACCUAGUGUCAUGGACAUAGGUUGGAUAAGAGUGACAUACGAACCUAGUGUUAAAAAACAUAGGUUGAGCAUUAACGUAGUGUUGUUGAACCUAGGGUAAAUCAUGUGUGGCAUUAACCUAGUGUCGUGAACAUAGGUUGUCACGCCCCAAUCCUCGCCAAUUUGGUCGGAUUCGGGUCAUGUCAACAGACGCCGAACGGACAGCAUCUCCCUCGUCCGCCCAAGGCUCCAACAAACACGUAUAAUUAAACAAUCAACAAAGAGAUAUGCAAUUAUACAAGGCUUGCACGAGGACAAGCAACAACAGAAGCGAAAGCUCUAAGCUAAUAUAUACAACCAUACAUAAUACUUGAUUACAUUUGAACCAAAUAAAAGUAAACUGAACUAUUACAUUCUUUGCUUUCAUUCAUAAUUCCUUCCAUUUAGCUAUUCACCAAAUUACAUAUUUGUUUUCAACUUUACAACUUUCUAAAUCAACAAAAGAAGUUGAUACAUGUAAACCAAAAGGGAAAUGACUACAAAAUAUGAAAUAGUCCUGGUGGCCGCUAUCUACGGCACUAAACCCUUGUCACGGUCCUCCGCCGCCCCGCUCGUGCUCGGACCUGUGGGGUUAGUGGUGUGAGAACUACAACGAAGUUCCCAGUGGGUUCGGGAACCGACCUCGCCGACUUACCCACUAGGUCUAUCCAGGCAUAAGUAUAACAAAGGAAGAAAAAUAACCAGUACUAAUGCAUCUAAUACUAUGCCUGCAAAAGAAUGUCAGUGGAUAUAUGUAAUCAACAAUAUUUGGUAUGCAUGCAUGCAUGUUCUUUACCAUUACUUUGUCUUUCUGUACCCAAUCUUACCGGUUAACUUUGUUAACCCCAAUAGCUCACAAUUUCUUAUCCCGUCUACCGGGGGAGGCAAUUAGCACUACCACCCGAGGGAUCGUCGACGGGGUUCUUCCCCGUGGUGUCUACACUCCGGAGUACACCGCUUGAGGAGGAGCGACCUCCCUCAAGCCUAAGUCCACGUGAGCCUCGAUCCAAUCCUCAAGUUGAGGAUACAUAGCCACUAGUCAUAAUGCCGAUGUCUUAAUAGGUUCUUACAUAUUGUUCAUGUCAUGUUCUAAGUCAUUCUUGCCACGAUGUCAUUAUUGUCAAACCUUGUGUAACAAUAUCAUUUUCAAGGCCAAUCAUAUCUCUAUUGUCAAUGCCACCUUUGUUCACUAUAGUCAAGUCCAAGUCCCACAUUCACACAUCUCUCGGGUUCAAUCAUACAUGUUCAUUACGGUUCUUGUUCAAUCUCUAUGUUCAUCUACAUUAGAAGCAUAAUAUUGAAAUUCUAACCACUAGUCACAUGUAAGAUUACCCUACUAUGCAUGAAUGACUAUAUACAAUAUGCUCAAAGAUAAAGUGACAUAGACAUAGAAGGGAAUCCAACGAUUCUGGAAUGUACCCCCCACCUUUAAUAGUCGUGUAGGUGUAGAAUAUGACGACUCCCAAACUUUACGAAAGCCGAUUCCACGUCCUAUAACCAAAAUAGUGCCAUAUUAGGCCUUUUGUACAUGAACCAUACUUAAACAUUUUCGUAACGUCGAACGGAGUUGUCCAACGCGUCGAGGACAUCCCCAAUUAGGUUUCCACGAGGUCAAUUCGCCCUUGAAAAUUUCUAGGGCAAAAGCCCCAAAUUUGAGCCCUAACAAUGCCUUAUGCAAUUUUCUUUUAGAUUGAUCUCAUCUCUAAGCAAAAGAUAGCUUAGAAUCAUCUAAGAAGUAUUCUAAUAAAGUUUCCAAGCCUUUUGAACCAACCCUAGGGCCUCUACUUUGAGCCUUAGUGAUCCAUCAUGAGAGCCCUACAAGAAAACCAUGGAUUUCAUGGUUUCUUUGCUCAACAAGGUUCUAAAGCUAGAAAUAAACUCAAAACCCUAAAACUUUGGGUUGAAAUCCAAACCCUAGACUCUCUUGAACCAAAACCUCACCUUUGCCCAAGUUCCACCAAGCUCCUUCUUGUAGGUGAGCUUCUUGGACCACCAAAUGUUAAGGAUUUUAUAGAUUGGCGAAUUUCGUAAAGUUGUUUGGAGUCUUGAAAAGUUGAUCGCAGAAGUUUUUGAGCAAAGAUUCAAAUUGGAGGACAAAGACUCAUUCGGAAAGAUCGACACCUAAGGUAUGAAGAAAAGAUCAUUUGUGGUGAAGAUACAUAAUUAAAAUAAGUUCAAAAGGCUUAGAUUGUUUUUAAAUAACUUUUCUGAACUUUCUUGUGUUCUGGGACCGGUCUCUGAAAUGGAGAGACCGGUUCCCCCAAGGUCCUCAUUGCGUAAACCUUGAUGCAACCGGUCCCCUGUGAUGAGAGACCGGUUCCCGAACCUUGGUGAUUCUGUCGCGCAGCGAGGGACCGGUCUCAAGUUUGAGAGACCGGUUCCCGAACGUGGGGUUUUUGGUCACGCAGGGAGGGACCGGUUUCUCACUUGAGAGACCGGUCUCUCACAGACCGGUCUCCUCGACAGGACCGGUCUCUGAGGACGACACAGGUUUUUGAAAACGAUUUUUUACAAUCCUAGUCUACUUCUAAGUCUUCUAAACAUAUAAAUAAGCUAUGUGGGUCAUCUAAAAUUAAGGCUUUGAAUAUUUUACCAAUUCCAAACCCUAGAAACUUGUUUUCUUUCCGUUUCAAUGCUUAGAUUUACAUGAUGAGUUUCUAGCAAUCAACAUCGGCUUGAUUCUUCGUUUUUACUCAAUACUUCUUACGAGAAUCAAGUAGAUGAUUGAUUAAAGGUGAACCCUCAUAGCUUAUGGUUUUCAAAAGUUAAAUCACCACAAAUCUUCAAUUCUACAAUCUCCGGAAGGAGGUUCGGCGCGUGGAUCUCGCGUGAAGCCGAGAAUUCGGUGGACGUUUCGAGGAGUUGAGGCGUUGACGCUGCGAGGAGUUGCAGCUAGGUCGAUUGGUGGAUUCCUAUCGAUCGAGGACCGGCAAAGAUCACCGUCAACGAGAAAUCGGUAAAUUGAGUUGUGUGUUUUUGGUCGAAAUCACUUGUACUCAAGUUUUCUUAGUGGAUUUUCUUUGCGUGAUCGGUCCCGUGGGUUUUUCACUCCGAAUUGGAGUUUUCCCACGUUAAAUUCUCGGUGUGCUAUUUUAAUUUCCGCUAUUGUGUUUUGUUUGCAUCGAGAUUUUUCGAGUUUGCCGAAUUUACACCUAUUCACCCCCCUCUAGGUGUUACUUACCUUUUAGAUCCUUGGGAUCCAUAUCUAUCACCAAAACCCUAAACUCCCUCUUCUCCAAGUUCUUCUUCUUCUUCUCCUUCAAGCCCUAGAUGAGUUCGAGAGAUAGAGAGGAGAGGAAAUCAGGGUAAGGGUGUGCUUUCGCUAAGAAAAGGGAGAAGGGUCGAGUAUAUAAGGUGUUGUAACAAUUACAACAAGGUCCUCCCACUAUUUCCGUUGUGCACUGCCCAGACUGGGCGUUCUGAGCGGUGGGGGACCGAUCUCCCCAACCAAGGACCGGUCCUCGAGAGCUGCUCUCGCCGACUGCGCAGCCGGCGCACGAGGCAACCGGUCUCGGCCCGAGGCAACCGGUCUCUUCCCGCAGGGACCGGUUCCCGAGAGCUGGUUUACCAGGACUUAGCCAAUUUCUCGGCCAUCUCGCUGCCUACGCGUUCGGGGACCGGUCUCUCCCACCAGGGACCGGUCCCCGAGAGCACAAAACCUGCAGUUUUGCAGAUUUUAAUUUCUAAAGCUCUCGAAGAUUCCCAGUAAUGCACUUUUGCAUUAUUUGAUGCCUUCGGCCUUUCCGAAGCGUACCAAUCUCGCACUUUGGUCAUUUUGACCAAGGUUCGAAUUUAAUUACCGAGGUUUCGGUAUGUUACAUAGGUUGUGAACUGGACCUAGAGUUAAAGUGAACCUAGGUUAUGUGAUUGAGCUAUUAAACCUAGAGUCAGUUGGACCUAGGGUGGAAAGUGCAUUGGACCUGGUUAGGUCGAUACUAUAAGAUUUGAGACCAACCCUUGAGCUAUUUAAAGUGGAUUCCGGAAUCCCAAGACUUGUGAGCUCGAUAGUUCUUGGCCGCGGGUGCAUAUGGCAUGUUCCUCUCCCACCGGAAGAACUUUGAGUAUUAUGACUGAGCAAGAAUAGAGAGCGCUAGGGUGUAUGCGGCAUGUUCCUCUCCCUAUCGGGGAUCUCGGUUGCGGGUGUAUGCGGCAUGUUCCUCUCCCACCGAGGGAUCCCUGACCACGGUGCACGGACCUUUGGGCGGACCGUUUGGCAAUGUGGUUCUUGGCUUGCAAGCUGAGGUGCAUGUGAGAGUUCCUUCACCUCGAGCCGGGCAGAGCGCGGAUUAUCCGCAGUUGAUUGACUCGAGGCCGAGUCAAGUGGCUAGCUGGAAUAAGGUAGAUAGAACCUUGAGGGCUAGUAGUAAAUGUGAUAAACCUAAGGUAAUAGAAACCUUAGAGUUAGAUGAUAUGAACUAACGUUAGCAAGAUUGAAUGUAGAAUCAAUAGAUCUACUAGUUGUUGCAUAUAUAUUCAUGUUGCAGAUAGCAUGGCAUCGUUACAGUUGUGAGGCAAGGCAUGGUAAUGUUAGUUGCAUAUUUAAGAUAAAUAUAUAUAUAUAUAUAUAUAUAUAUAUCUGCUUAUUGGACUAACAUGUGUUUGCCUCCUUUGGACCUGUUGGUCGAGCUCUUCUCUUGAGUGGCCGUACCCACUGGGAGCCAUGAAGUUGGUUCUCACUCUACGUUGUUUUGGGGUGUUACAGGUUCGCACGUGAGCGGCGCGGUGGCGCGAGGAAAGGGCGUAGCUUCGUAGGUAGCGCCCUACCCCAGAGACCAGAGAUACAAGUACCCCAUGUCGGUAUAGCCUAGGGGUAUAGAAAAAGGAAAGAACAAGAAUGUAUCAAACUUAUAAUAAAUUUGUAAUAACUAGAUUGUAAUUUGGAAACUGAAUGUAAAAGAAACUGUGAUGUAAAAAUGUAAGCUGGUGAAUGCUUGUAAUAACUUAGUUGUUUAUGUUUUUGAUACUUCCUUAUGCAAUCUAUGCUUGAUUUCUGUUCCUGGCUGAAACAUCGUGAAUUGUAUUGAUUGUGACGCCUAGGACGUACAGGAAAAACUCUGUCCGUUCGGCGGUCUGUCGGCGUGCCCGAAUCCGACCAAAUAGGCGGGUGUCGAGGCGUGACAGAUAAGAUGGUAUCAGAGCAUAAAAGAAACAUAAAAAGAAUAAUAGAAAAUGGUUUAGUUGGAUCUAGGAGACCCGAGGAUAGCAAACCAUAGGAGAUUAAGGCUCAUGAGAGACGAGGACUUGUGACUUUUGGCGAAAGAUAAAUUGAUUGGGUUAUGUUGUAAACCUCUAAAACGGAUGUUAGAGGUAGACUCAAGGUGAGGCUUAUUCUCAACAGAGGGUGUUCAUGUUGGGUGCACACAACAUGAAGCCGAGUGAUGAGAAUAGACGCCCUUGCGUAACUUUUGUCCGAUUUGAGUUGGUAUUAAGUUUCUCGUGUUCGACCUUGAAGGUCGAGGAUUACUAGAGUUGUCGCGUUUUAGGAAGCGAUAGCACUGCGUAGGCGAUCUUCGUUAGAUCGGCGCGGGAUGGGCCAAGUGGCAUCCCUGGGCAAUUUAGGCGAGCGGAGACUUGAAACUUCGCGAGUUUUGGCGGCCCUCGUGACCUUUGAGAAAUUAACGGGAUCCUCGUCGUGUUAAACCACUUCUGGUCGAAUUGACCAAAAUGCAUCGAGAGAAAUAGUUGGACAAAAUCCAAUUGACAUUCCAACAAUGCUGGAAGGGUUAAAAUUGAGUUCCAAAAGAGUUAAGGAGGUUUUAGCAUUGCUCGGCGCGAGGCAGAGUCGAAAGGGAGCUAAAAUGGCAAUCUCGGCAAAGUGUACCGGUACAAUAUUCAUGCUGUACAGGUACAACCAUCGCAAACCGAGAGCAGAAUGCUCUCAGGUUUGCCUCUACGCGAGUGCGUUACCGGUAACACCCCUGGUGUGUACCGGUACACUUUGGCAGAACCCGAGUAGUUGCUCGCGGGUUUGCCUCUGCGAGAUCAUGUUACCGGUGACAGGGUGGCCCGUACCGGUACACUUUGGGUCUGACAGCAAAAAUAAAUCUGCUGCAAUUAUGGAAAAGAGAGGGGUUUAGAUGUGAUUGUGGCAGCUUGCAAAAUGGCCCCAACUCCUCCUCACUUGAUCACAGCCUAAGACCACCCAGCAUGUGGUUUUUCUCCCUCUAUUUCUCUAGGAGCCCUUCCCGAGUGUGGAUUGGUGGAGAUUAGAGGAGAUUUGAGGAUUAGACCUUGUGGAUAGAACAAGGCGGUGCAAUUGUGCGAGAGGGAGCGUGAGUCUAAUGGCAAGGAAAAAAGAAAAUAGGACGGCCAACGAGUGGAUUCGGUGGUCCGUCAAGUUCUCAAUUGAGUGCAAUGUGUUUGUGCUCGUGAUUUCGAGUUCCGGGGACCUACUGUAUUCGGUCCUUGGUGAGAUGUGUCGUUUGUGGGUAUUUUCGUUACCCACAACAGUGCGAGCUACGAGAGGGCGUUGAGGACAAUGCAACCUAAGGGUUCGCGGCAAGCGCCGGGUGGCCGUAGAUAAGCGACCCAGGUUGAGGAACCUGCUGCUGACGACGUCGUUGCAGGUAUGAGUUAUUGAUGCAAGCAUAUGUUUUGCAUGAUGUGAAGUUGAUGCAUUGCAUGCAAUGGUUAUGUGGUUAAUUACUAUUGUCGUGUAUGAGCAUAGUAGAGACCGAGUGGACGGGUAAGUAUAGAUACCUGGGCAUGCUCGUGUUGUGAGGGCGUAGUAACUGCCAGUACAGGGAUAGAGCCAGAUGGCACUAGUGAAGUGCUAGUAGUGAUCUAUGGCGAGAAGUGAGACUCGCGGUAGAGAUAGAAGUGGCGAAUCGACUCUCAAAGCAGUAUGAGUAGUAAAUUGCGAGAGUUGAGCCAUGAUGCUUAUGGGCACCCCAGUAAUCCGGAAAUUUCGGAUGUCAUUUCGGUAGGUCGAACAGUGAAAGUGAAUCACUGUUGAUAAAACAGUUGGUUAGUCGCCAAGUACUAGCACGUGGGCCUUGUAGUACCUCGAUGUGAGGUAGGAGGGUCAUGCUUGUGUAGUCAGCGUGCAUAGGCCAGAAUUGCCUAAUGCUGGACUUAGUGUGGAGCGCUAUAGAGGCGUGUGACGUUCGAGUAGAGUUACUCGUGGAGUGCGGAUUUAGUUCAGCCAAGUGAGUGUGUUGGCAGUAGCACUUAAGCUCUGCGAGGUGUGAAGCGUGCCAGGGAAUCACUCGUAGGGCGGAUGGCUCGCACUAGGUACCUAGGAGCCGGUAGUCAUACGUAUGCUCGAUAGAACGCGUCAUGUGAUUGAUAGUACACCGAGAGUACGAUGGUGACCCAACCUGGGGAUCUAUAACGGUUUGGGGUCUUAGUUGCUCCUGGUUGGAGUGUGUGCGAAUUCCCAAGUGAGAAUUUCGCCCGAUGAUAAUUGGGUCUGCAUUUGCGGGCGAGAGACGCUGCGUAUUAAGACAGGUUUAGGCGGUAGGCCUACGUAGGAUUGGUAGCCUUUGGUCCACCUGUGGAGACUGAAGAAAGCGAUUUGGCGGAUAGCCUUAUCGAGGAGUUUAGCUUGGAUUCACGAACGGAGUGUUCGUGUGAGCUCAUUGCGAAAAUAAUUUGACGUUGAUCGUGGCAUGUGGUAUCAGAUGAUGAAGUACUCCUUGUGAGACAUCAAACUAGUGAAAGCCACGUGAUGUUGGAGACUAUGCUCGUAAGCGAACUAAGACUUGAGAUGUGCCGAAGUGGGCCAUCUCACAUUAAAGUUAAAGGUCAGUGCAAAAUUAGAGCACUCACGACGGAGCAAUGCAUCGGUGAUAUUGCUUUUAAGCAAUGUCAGUGAUCGAAUCAGAAUGUAUUCCCUGAAAGGAAGGUAAGUGCAAAGAAGAGUUCUUUAUGUACCCAAUGGCGAGUGGUGUUGGAGCGCGUAGAGUCGUCGAGUACCGACUUGCGCUGCCACUAUGACUUGCAAGACCUGUGAUGCACUUUUAUAUCAUACUUUGCAAAUGUGUUUAGGAUUAAACCAACGUCCUUUAGUAUGAGCCGCUUCUGGAACCACGAUAGUGUGAAGCCGCUUGGGAGUGGGAGAAUGAGUUGGUACCCCCAAUUGCUCGCGGAGCUGAAUUGAUGCGUGGUUUGAAUUUCGCGGACGAAAUUCUUUUUGAAGGGUGGAGAAUGUAACAUACCGGAUUUUGAUAUAAAAAUAAUAAAUAAAUAAAAAUAGUGUAAGAUACUAUUUUUAUUGAAUUUAGAGAGGUAAAAUAUAAGUCAGAAGUGACUUGUGCUGAAAUCGGAAUGAAAACAGAAGAUUUAUAAUUUUCUGUUGGAAACGGGACAGAUAAAUUAGCAGAAAAUGCACAGUGUCAGAAAAUUAUAAAAACUGGAGGAUAAGUCAGAAUUAUUUUUAUGAGGCUAUAUUUAAAGUUUCAUAUCAUUCUGACACCCGGAAGGUAGAAAAUAAAAUCCGACAGCUAUCUGAUAAAGAUUACAAUUCGAUAUAAUUUUCGGUGACCAAACGGGGUCGAAACUGAAAUGUUAAAAUUUCUUUGUACUUAUUUAGUAAAACUGAGCCUGACUGUCAAAUUUGAGUGCAAACGGACAUUCAGAAGGGCUCCGGCGAAAAAUGUCAGUUUUAAACUGCCUGGAGUGAAUAGUGUUUGAGGGGCUAUUAUGUAAUUAAGCUUGCCUUUCUCUUGUCAUCUCCCACAGCCGACCACACCACCAACACACGCACGCAUGGAGAGGGGGAGAGAAACCUUCAUUUCUCUCUCUAAAUAUCUCUCUCAUCUCUCUAAAUCUCUCUCUAAAAAUUGGAGGGUUGGUGGAGAGCGAGCUUGCGAACGCGUUGGGAGCGACAGAUCGAGCUUUCGUGCGGCCGUUGGAGCGGCGUGCUUUCGUCGCGGCGUUCACAUUUUGGUAAGCUUUUGAGAUUUUGUUUAAAUCCUUCAUGAAUGAUGUUCUAGUAGUAUCUAUAGUGUUCUAAACAUAUUUGCUCCAUUUAAUUUCGAUUAUUUGGAGGUUAUUUGUAUAUUAGGGCUCCGAAUGGGGUUUUGUAAAAUAGUAGGGUUUGAUCUCAUUUGACCCUCCGUAAACCUAAUUGCUAGGUAAACGAACGCGUUGGCGAGGUCGGUUCGGUAAUUUGUCGAGCCGUUGUAAAGAUAUUGAAGAAACGGACUAUUUAGCUUCGUUUCCGCCUGGAGGGCCGAGCCGACAUCAUAAAAUCAUGAAAACGGAUUUGGAGCACCGUGGCACAUAACCGAAGACCUAUAAUUUUCGGAGCAGCGAUUCGACGCACAGUUGGUGAGUAUUAGCAAAAUCGGGCCGAACCGGACACGGGUGCCGCGGGAGGCCGAUUGCAAGUGUCGACAAGCAAUCGGAAAGCGAUUUGAGGUGGGUUGUGUUUACCGAAGCGACUAGGUCGCCCCACAUGUCAAAGCAGAAUAUGGAUUUUUGUUGAUGCAUAUGUAUGUGUAUACUGGCAUGUUAGCAUUAUGUAAAUGUAUGCUAGUGGGUAGAAUACAUGCUAGUGAUAAUUGCAUAAUAAUGCAUUAGAAAGAACAUGCUAGUAAGUAGAUGCAAGUGAUGUGCAGGUUGGCAUUGUAAUGUGCUAGGUGAAAGAUAAUGCAUGUAAAUCUAAUUGAUAGGUUUAGGGAAUCAUGCAUGUGAACCUAUUUGUUAAAUGGAAACAUAGACAUGCUAGCAUCAUGUAAAUACUUGCUUGUUGAUGAUUGCAUAUAAAUAUUAUGUUUGCUAGUUGAUAGUUGCAUGUUGAUGCAUUAGAAGUGCAUGCUAGUUGAUAAUGGCAAAUUGCUAUGUUGAAGUAUAUGCUAGAUGUUAUUUGCAUGUGACAUGUUAGCCUACAUGCUAGAAGAGAGCAUAGUGACAUAAUGAGAAAAGGCUAAGUAUAAUAUGCAUGUUGAUAACGCGGAUGUUUAUAGAAACUCGAUGUGGACAAUUAGGUAUUCAGUAGAUCGAGUGGCAUUAACCUAGUGUUAAUAAACAUUGGUCGAACAAAGAUGACAUUGAACCUAGUGUUAGUAAAAUAGGUUGCAUUGAACCUAGUGUCAUGGACAUAGAUUGGAUAAGAGUGACAUACGAACCUAGUGUUAAUAAACAUAGGUUGAGCAUUAACCUAGUGUUGUUGAACCUAGGGUAAAUCAUGUGUGGCAUUAACCUAGUGUCGUGAACAUAGGUUGUGAACUCGACCUAGAGUUAAAGUGAACCUAGGUUAUGUGAUUGAGGUAUUAAACCUAGAGUCAGUUGGACCUAGGGUGGAAAGUGCAUUGGACCUGGUUAGGUCGAUACUAUAGGAUUUGAGACCAACCCUUGAGCUAUUUAAAGUGGAUUCCGGAAUCCCGAGACUUGUGAGCUCGAUAGUUUUUGGCCGCGGGUGCAUGUGGCAUGUUCCUCUCCCACCGGAAGAACCUUGAGGAUUAUGACUGAGCAAGAAUAGAGAGUGCUAGGGUGUAUACGGCAUGUUCCUCUCCCUAUCAGGGAUCUCGGCUGCGGGUGUAUGCUGCAUGUUCCUCUCCCACCGGGGGAUCCCUGACCACGGUGUACGGACCUUCGGGCGAACCGUUUGGCGAUGUGGUUCUUGGCUUGUAAGCUGAGGUGCAUGUGAGAAUUCCUUUGCCUCGAGCCGUGCAGAGCGCGGAUUAUCCGCAAUUGAUUGACUCGGGGCCGAGUCGGGUGGCUAGCUGGAAUAAGGUAGAUAGAACCUUGAGAGCUAGUGGUAAAUGUGAUAAACCUAAGGUAAUAGAAACCUUAGAGUUGGAUGAUAUGAACUAAAGUUAGCAAGAUUGAAUGUAGAAUCAAUAGAUCUACUAGUUGUUGCAUAUAUAUUCAUGUUGCAGAUAGCAUGGCAUCGUUACAGUUGUGAGGCAAGGCAUGGUAAUGUUAGUUGCAUAUUUAAGAUAAAUAUAUAUAUAUAUAUAUCUAUCUGCUUAUUGGACUAACAUGUGUUUGCCUCCUUUGGACCUGUUGGUCGAGCUCUUCUCUUGGGUGGCCGCACCCACUGGAAACCAUGGAGUUGGUUCUCACCCCACGUUGUUUUGGGGUGUUACAGGUUCGCACGUGAGCGGCGCGGCGGCGCGAGGAAAAGGCAUAGCUUCGUAGGUAGCGCCCUACCCCAGAGACCAGAGAUUGCAGUACCCCGUGUCGGCAUAGCCUAGGAGUAUAGGGCAAGGAAAGAACAAGAAUGUAUCAAACUUGUAAUAAAUUUGUAAUAACUAGAUUGUAAUUUGGAAAUUGAAUGUAAAAGAAACUGUGAUGUAAAAAUGUAAGCUGGUGAAUGCUUGUAAUAACUUAGUUGUUUAUGUUUUUGAUACUUCCUUAUGCAAUCUAUGCUUGAUUUCUGUUCAUAGCUGGAACAUCGUGAAUUGUAUUGAUUGCGACGCCUACGUACAGGAAAAACUCUGUCCGUUCGGCGGUCUGUCGGCGUGCCCAAAUCCCACCAAAUAGGCGGGUGUCGGGGCGUGACAGCACUAUUCAUGGUCUUCAAAUUUUUGUUGUCCUCUUCAAUAUCCAAUAAACGACGCCUCAACUUCUUAUUGUGCUUGGUCAUCUUUUUCGAAUCAAUAAGAAGUUGGUUGUAUGCUUCCGCUAUAUCCUCGUCGUUUGAUUCCUCCUCGCUUUCACCGAUAUCGCUCGAAGUACCUUGCACGGAAGGAGAAAUACUAGAAUUAGAAACAAUUGAGGAUAAGCACAUAACAUUAGACGAAGGCAAAGAAUUAUUAGCAAGUAAAGCAAUAUGAUCAUCCUUUUCUUCGUCACUUGAAGAUGAUUCACUCGAAGUAGAAUUAUCCCAAGUUUUUGCUUGCAAAGCCUUUUGUCUAUAAGUCUUCUUAGAAGGACAAUCCGUUGCAAUGUGACCGUAGCCUUUACAUUUGUAGCAUUGGAUUUUCCCUUCAAACUCAUCUUUCAUUCGAAGAUUUUGCAAGUUUUUUAUCCUUAGAUUUUAAAUUAGAAGAAUGCUUAGAAGAGGAUUUAAGCUUUGAAGAUGAAGGUUUGUUCGAUUUGCUCUUUCGAAAAUUCCGGCGAAACUUCUUCGUGAGGAGCGCAAGUUGAUGUUCGAAAUCAGCGAGCGAAAUAUAUCCGUCGGAAUCCGAGUCGUCUUCUUCUUUCUUUGUUGAUUUGAGUGCCACCCCUGUGCUUUUAGAAAAAGACUUGGAAGAAGAUAGGUUAGUAGGAAAAGUGAUCUCAUACGUUUGUAAAGCGCCUACUAACUCUUCGACUUUCAUCUCAUUCUGUUGCUUAACGGUUUCAAUCGCGGCAACAUUUGCCCGAAAGCGUUCUGGAAGAGUUCGAAGAAUCUUUCUAACAACUUUAGCAUCCGAAAUUUUAUCUCCCAAGUUAGCGCAUGUAUUGACAACUUCUUGUAGUUGCGUAUAGUACUCGGUAAAGAUCUCGUUUUCUUCCAUAAAAAUCGAGUCAAAUUUGCUUGUUAGCAUUUGUAAUUUUUGAACCUUUACUAAGCUUGUUCCUUCAUGCGUAACUUGUAGAGUAUCCCAAAUUUUCUUUGCCGUUUCACAUGCCGAAACACGAGUAAACUCCGUUUGCGAUAAAGCAUUGAAUAAAGCAUUAAUUCCUUUACCGUUAAACGAAGAUGACUCGUUUUCAUCUUUUGUCCACUUGUUUCGCGGUUUAGAGACGGUAGCACCAUCGACAACUUCGGUAGGAUGUUUCCAUCCGAAUUCAAUAGCUUUCCAUACCCGCUCAUUGAUUGCGAUUAGAAAAGCUCUCAUGCGAAUUUUUCAAUAGGCAUAAUUCGUGCCGUCAAAGAGCGGUGGUCGAUUAAUGUUACCGCCUUCUGCUAUUAGAUAACAAUUUAUCUAGAUCCCGCUCUGAUACCAAUUGAAAGUUUUGAGGAGCCCAAGGAUCUAUCUAGAUUGUAUCUAACACCUAGAGGGGGGUGAAUAGGUAUAAUAGCCAAAAACCACAAAUUUCAAUGCGAUAAAAAUAAAUACGGAAAAUAAAAAUCACAUCGAGAUUUACAUGGGAAGACUCCAACUUGGAGUAAAAAUCCCACGGGACCAACACGCGAAAAAAUAAUUCACUAAGAGAAAAGAUUACAAGGUAAUUACUGACUCCACGGACUCAACCUCUCUUAACCUCCUAUGAAUAUCGCGCAAUCCUCCGGGUUGUCCACGCCCUUAUGUUCAAAUCCACGAACGCCACGUUCCGAAUCCACGAAAUGCCUCCACUCCGAAUCCACGAAGCUCACAAUCCGAAUCCACGAACCGCCGUCAAUCACGCCGAAUCCACGACGCCGUCAUGAAGAACAUCAUGUGUAUGGUGAUCCUCCGCUUAGAGUAUCGAUGAAAACUAGGAAAGAGAACUCCAAGCGAAGCGAAAAUCAAAUCGACAUAUAGAUAUGAAAUUUCAAUAUCUUGAUUUGACCUAAAAGAGGCUAAUAUGUAGAAAAUAGGUUUUAGAUGAAAUCCGAGCCUCUAGGGUUUCUCAAACAUGUAUUUUCGUGAUGCUUGAUCUGUUAGAGAACCCCAAUAGCUUAUUUAUAGACUUUAGAAUCAAUUGGAGUCGGAUUAGAAAGUUUUCACGAUUUUACACUGUGUACCGGUACACUUUAAGCUGUCACCGGUUACACGAUGACGGAACGAAAAAACUGACGAAACAGUGAAACCGGUUACAUGUUGAUGGCUGUACCGGUACACAUUUUGUACCGGUACACUUCUGAUGCUGUACCAGUACACUUUGCAAAUUUUCACCGUUUCGGGUUUUGCAAAGUUUCGAUGCACUUUCUAAUCCAGUAAAUUUUGAUAUUAUGAUUCUAAUACCUACAACUAAGUAUAAAUCACCAUAACAUGAAUUAACACUUUACCUGGGCAUCGUGAUUCACAUCGUGAAUUAUUUUCCAAUUUCUUCGAAAUCUUGAAUUCUUUGAUCUUCGACGAUACGCACCGAUUCUUCAAGACUCUGACUCACUUCACGAAACUUGCCAACACACAAGGCUUAACACCACCUUGGUCUGCGGAUCCCAACUUCCACUCCACCCCCAUGAUCGCCCCCCUUUGUCCAGAGAGAAAAUAGGGGUAAGCUGGCUUUCGAACUGGAGCAGAGGUAGAGACUUGUUGGCUUUGGUUCUCGUGACGUCCACAAUGACAUUGUCAGUUAGGCUAGCUGCAUGCAAACUCUUCAUCCGCCCCAUCCCCUCUAUAGACCAGAGAAAGGCUCUUAACCCGAAGGAGGUCAAGUGAAACUUCGGCCCGCAGCCCCUCGUGUGAAUCAGGACCCGUUAUGGCAUGGGCUUAGAGGUGGUGACUAGUUCCAGGCCCAAUCCUCAACGAAGUACUCAACCCCAUUCACAGUGAGCUAUCCCCUUCCGCACCCACCACUAGCUACCUGGCCCAAUAAGAUUUUCACCUGGCCCGAUAAGAUCUUCAGGGGUGUCCAUGCAUGCUUGACAGCCAACUUGGGUUUGGGUCCAAAGGUUUGACCCAGAUCAUCUAUGGCCUCGGGCCCCACAACAACCAUAGUAGUGUUUUCCUCCUCCCAAGGCAUUCUCCAUGAUAGUGAAGAAAGAUGGUGUCUUUCUGAACUCACCCAGACCUCUCUCGUGUAAGUUUCCAUUAUCGUGAAAGUCGCGACCAUCUCCCUCCGCUCUACCUCCUUGGUUCCUGAGCUCCCUUGAUCUCGAUCUUCACGCCGUCGCUAUUAUUCAUUGCGACGAGUGGCUGUCCACCAUGCGCCACACCGUCUCUUGCCGCCGACGUAGAUCGCUAGGCCACCGCGGGUACGCGCUGGGACACCAUGUGUAACACACUGGACCUUUGCAAAUUGCGAGGUUCAAGUAUUUGAUCAGUGUUAUGAAUUUUUUCAGAUUUUCUGGUGGGUCGUUAACAGUGUUCCGACCUAUCGCUCGUAUCCCGAGAACUGAGUUGUCUUACUUCUACUUGCUUUCAUAUCUCUUUUGUUGUAGACACUUUAUAUGUGCAGGCAUAUGGCGGGUCUGGGCACGCACCGGGCGGGCCUAUGCCGGGUCCCGGGGCGUGACACCAUGGCUCCCGGAACCAUGUAAAUCGAUUGCGCUUACCCGACCUCCUCUAGCUCCCCGUCGUCGUCACCCAUCACGUCAUCGGCGGUUACCUGACUACCGUUAGCUUGGUGUCUACAAUCUCUACCAUCCACUUGCAUCACGUCGUCGUCGGGCCCAUUCUGUGGCGGUGUGGGGGGUUCGUCACCCCUUGGCCCCUCAGCACUCUCCCAGCUCUCCAGGUGGACCAUGACUGAGAAGAUCUCCUCGCCAAGCACUACGAACAAGUUUUGUGGAAUGUCGCUUGCCAACUCGAGAGUGAUUUGGCACCGGAAAGCUCUGAGGUCUGUCAUCGCCUUCGUCAUGUCGUCUACCUUGACAAACCGCCCAAACUAGCUAACCAUCGCCGCCACUCGUGCCACAGUCCAACACUCAAACGGUAGGUUGAUCAAGCGAACCCACGCUCUAAACUGUACCCGAUAAGGACGAGCAUUUCUGUAAAGGCCCCAUAGGUAACACCUGAUCCAGAAUCCGUCGAGAGUAAGGACUUCUCUUCUAGUUAGAAUCUCUGCCGAGACCGAAUCUAGCAGAAAAAUUGCAAAGUCCCUGUCCCUAUACCGUGCGACCGUAAAAUCUUGUGUAUACCCCCCAAAACGUCUGGCCAUUGCACGUACGAUGGAGUGGAUAGGGUCAAGUCCCAGGUUCGCAGGCCAGAUUACGUCCGCGAGGACAGCAUUGCGAUGCCAUUCCCUUUUUCACAAUUACUCCUCCGUGUAAGGUACGUAGACCUUAGAGUGCGGCAUGCGGCCUCGUUGACAGUAAACUCUAUUCAUUUCGACGUUGAUCCUAUCAACUUUUUCCUUACAGCUGAGUGCUCGGUGCCCGAUUUUUAGACACCUGAACCACUUUACAGGGUCGCGACACACUGCGACUCUAUGGUCGCUAGCUAUACACCAGCACCUCUUGACUUUGCUGUGGGAUGAAGGAUCCUUGGAUCUCAGGGAGUAGGGUUUCAGGUUGUGUUGAUGAGUGGAAGCAGGAGGUUGUAAGCGCGGCUUCCUCAGCCACACCUCCUUAUAAGACCCACUGGCAAGGAAGCAGGAGUUAAUGUCGCCACCUUCCGCUCUGUACCGCCCUCCCCUCUUAGCAUCUCUGGGCAAUAUCCGAAGCUUUCCACUUUGUUGUCCUUCAUUUACACCAUCCUUAUGAUCUCGAUCGAAGCCCUUACUGGAAGCGGCUAGAGUCACCUCCUCUUCAUUAUGAUACCUAUUGACCUCUAUCAAAUUUCUACCAACCUCAUCCGCCCAGGCCAACCGCUUCAAAGGCUUCUUCCCUGCCCAGGCUAGUUGCGUCGAAGGCUUCUUCCCCUCCUUCUCACUCUCUCUUCUCUCUCUCUCUACUUCUCUCAAUCCUUUUGUGACAUAUAUAAAUUUUAACUAACAAAAAGUGCUGUUUGUAUCCAAUAAUUUUCAGGUAUCAUCGGAUUGGUCACGCCCGACGCGGGUUACCAGCGGAGUAGGACGGCAUACCAGAACACGUCAACUCGUCAGGUGGGCUACAGAGGCCCGUACCGCUGCCAAGUAUAUAAGGGGAGUAUCAAGAGAAGCACACAGCAUUAGGAAGUAUAACAAAGGAGUCAGUCUAUUCCCUGAUAUCAUAGAGCAAUGUUACUAGUCGAUUAUCUAUCGAGUAAAAGAACAAAAGAGUGUACAAUCCAAAAUCUCGACUAAGAAGAAUAAAGUAUCAACAACUUAAGUUUCGGUCAAAGGUAAAUUUAUAACAUCACGGACAGUACAACAAAAAAACUAGGUCCAAUGUUGU
rnacentral:lncRNA from 1 species